rnacentral:lncRNA from 1 species
GUGGAAGGGAACUGUAGUGCGGUGAUUCAAAGAAUCCUUCCACCUAAGCAUAAGGAUCCUGGGAGUGUUACUAUUCCUUGCUCUAUUUGUUCGGUGUCGUUUGGUAAAACUCUCGUUGAUUUGGGGUCCAUUAUAAAUUUGAUGUCUCUCUCCAUGUGCAGCAAAAUUGGAGAGUUGGAGAUUAUGCCAACUACAAUGACACCACAACUUGCAGAUCGGUCUAUUACAAGGCCUUAUAGCGUAAUUGAAGAUGUUUUGGUUAAGGUGCAGCAUUUUACUUUCCCUGCGGAUUUUAUUCUGAUGGAUAUUGAAGAGGACGCUGAAAUUCCCUUAAUUUUGGGUUAUCCCUUCAUGUUAAUCGCCGAUUGUGUGGUGGAUAUGGGAAAGGGUAAGCUAGAAAUGAGCAUGGAUGACCAAAAAGUCACAUUUAACUUAUUUGAGGCAAUGAAGCACCCAGAUGAUCACAAGGCCUGUUUUAAAGUAGAAAAAGUGGAACAUGAGAUAGAUAUGGUAGCUAGAGCCAUGGUACUGUAGUCCCUACUUGAAAAAGCAUUGAAUAACACUAUAGAAGGUCUGACAAUAGAAGAAGAAAAAGAAGUGCAGACCUAUUUGGAGGAAUUAGAAGGUGUAAAGAAGGACAAUCCAGCGAAAAAGGAUAAAGUGGAGUUGAAGACCCUUCCUGAACACCUGAUGUAUGUAUUUAUAGGAGAAAAUGAAACCAAUCCGGUGAUCAUCAGCAGUUCUUUGAGGAAGGAAGAGGAGGCUCAGCUGGUGAAGGUUUUGAAGAAACAUAAGGCAGCCAUUGGAUGACACAUUUCUGACUUGAAAGGAAUCAACCCAUUUUACUGUAUGCAUAAGAUCAAUAUGGAAGCUGACUAUAAGCCUGUAAGACAGCCACAAAGAAGACUUGAUCUAGUUAUGAAAGAGUAAAUGAGGAAGGAAGUGCUUAAAUUGCUAGAAGCAGGGCUCAUUUAUCCCAUGUUAGAUAGUUCUUGGGUUAGUCCUGUGCAGGUGGUUCCCAAGAAAGGAGGCAUGACAGUUAUUAGGAAUGAGAAGAAUGAUUUAAUUUCCACAAGAACUAUCAUUGGCUGGAGGAUGUGUAUUGACUACAGAAAAUUGAAUGACGCCACCAGAAAAGAUCACUACCCACUUCCAUUCAUGGAUCAAAUGCUUGAGAGGCUAGCAAGGCAAUCAUUAUAUUGCUUUUUAGAUGGAUAUUUUGGCUACAAUUAAAUUGCAGUAAACGUAAUGACCAAGAGAAGACAAUAUUUACCUUCCCCUUUGGUGUGUUUGCCUAUAAGCGAAUGCCUUUUGGCCUUUUCAAUGCUCCUGCAACUUUUCAAAGUGUAUGAUGGCAAUCUUUGCCGACAUGGUGGAGAAAUGUAUAGAAGUAUUUAUGGACGACUUCUCUGUCUUUGGCUCCUCUUUUAACUGUUGUCUAUCCAAUCUAGAGAGAGUAUUGCAAUGGUGUGAAGAAACCAACUUGGUGCUUAAUUGGGAAAAAUGUCAUUUUAUGGUGCAAGAAGGCAUUGUGUUUGGUCAUAAAAUUUCUGCAAGGGGGAUUGAAGUAGAUAAAGCAAAGACUCAUGUGAUCAAGAAGCUGCCCCCUCCGGUAAAUGUUAAGGGAGUAAGAUGUUUUCUUGGGCAUGUUGGGUUCUAUAGGCGAUUUAUAAAGGAUUUCUCAAAGAUUGCCAAACCGCUCAGCAAUUUGCUUAACAAGGAUGCUGUGUUUUUGUUUAAUGAAGAUUGUUUGAAAGCAUUCAACACUCUCAAGACUAGUCUAGUGUCCGCUCCCAUCAUUACAGCGCCUAAUUGGGGCCAAGAAUUUGAGCUAAUGUGUGAUGCAAGUGAUUAUGUUGUAGGUGUUGUCUUGGGCCAGAGGAAAGGCAAAGUAUUCCAUGCUAUUUACUAUGCUAGCAAAGUUUUGAAUGAUGCUCAGAUCAAUUAUGCUACCAUAGAGAAAGAAAUGUUAGCAAUAGUUUAUGCAUUGGAGAAAUUCAGGUUAUACUUGGUGGGAUCGAAAGUUAUCAUCUAUACUGAUCAUGCAGCCAUCAAGUAUUUGCUAAAUAAAGCUGAUUCCAAGCCUCGGUUAAUUAGAUGGAUUUUAUUACUUCAGGAGUUCGAUCUAGUUAUCAAAGACAAGAAAGGCUCUACAAAUCUGGUAGCCGACCACUUGUCAAGACUGGUUAAUGAGGAGGUGACUUUGAAAGAGCUAGACAUAAGAGAUGAAUUUCUCGAUGAAUCCCUGUUCAUGAUAAAUGAGAGACCUUGGUUUGCUGACUUGGCUAACUUCAAAGCAGUUGGAAUUAGCCCUAAGGAUUUGACUUGGCAGCAAAGGAAGAAAAUCCUACAUGAUGCUCGUUUUUACAUCUAGGAUGAUCCACAUUUGUUCAAGGUUGGUGCUGACAAUCUUCUGAGAAAGUGUGUAACAAAGGAGGAAGCCAAGAGCAUAUUAUGGCAUUGCCACAAUUCACCAUGUGGAGGACAUUAUGGUGGAGACAAAAUAGUAGCUAAGGUCCUACAAUCAUAAUUCUUUUGGCCAACACUCUUCAAGGAUGCCUAUCAACAUGCACUACAAUGUGAUCAAUGCCAGAGAAUGGGAGGAAUUUCCAAAAGAAAUGAAAUGCCCCUGUAGAACAUAAUGGAAGUGGAAAUCUUUGACUGUUAGGGAAUCGACUUUGUAGGUCCCUUUCCCCCAUCCUUUGGCAAUGAAUAUAUUCUCGUAGCUGUGGAUUAUGUCUCCAAGUGGGUAGAAGCAGUGGCUACCCCAAAGGAUGAUGCCAAAACUGUAGUAAAGUUCUUGAAGAAGAACAUAUUUGCUAGGUUUGAGGUGCCUCGGGUCCUAAUCAGUGAUGGUGGCUCUCAUUUUUGCAAUAGCUAGUUGCAGAAGGUGCUAGGCUAUUAUAAUGUCACACACAAAGUAGUUUCACCCUAUAACCCUCAAACAAAUGGCCAAGCAAAAGUCUCCAACAGGGAAUUGAAGAAAAUCUUGGAGAAGACUGUGGCUUCAACUCGGAAGGACUUGGCAAACAAGUUAGAUGACGCAUUAUGGGCAUACAAAACUGCUUUCAAGACCCCUAUAGGCCUAUCUCCAUUCCAAAUGGUUUAUGGGAAAUCCUGUCACUUAUUGGUGGAAAUGGAACAUAAGGCAUAUUGGACCUUAAAAUUUCUGAACUUUGAUGGGGGUUGCAUCAAGGGAAAAGAGGAGAAAAGAGGAAGAUAAAGCUCUUGGAGUUGGAAGAAAUGAGAUUGAAUGCAUAUGAGUCUUCAAAGUUGUACAAGGACAAAGUGAAGGCUUACCAUGAUAAGAAGUUGCUCAAGAUGGACUUUAGCCCAGGACAACAUGUGAUGUUGUUCAACUCAAGAUUGAAGUUAUUCCAAGGCAAGGUCAAAUCCAAAUGGUCUGGACCAUUUACAAUCAAGGAAGUCAGGCCAUAUGGAGCAAUAGAAUUGUUCGAUCCUCAGUCAGAGACUCCAGAUAGGACAUGGGUAGUAAAUGGUCAGAGGUUGAAGCUUUACCAUGGUGGAAGCAUUGAGAGGUCAACCAUCGUCCUUCAUUUACAAGACACAUGAGGUAAUAUGUGUCAAGCUAAUGACGUUAAGCGAGCGCUUACUGGAAGGCAACCCAACUCUUUUUAUUUUCAUUAAUCAUUGCAUAUAAUUAGGAUCAACUUGUUUAUGAUUGCUUGAGUAAGUCAUCAGCAUGUUUUGCAUAGAGAUAUGGGGUUGUCAAAGCUUCUUUGAAGCUGUGGAUGAAAAAUAACUCAGAAAAUUUUUCAGUCAUCCACUCACUCAACGUGCCCUGUGCACUAAGCAAAUCAUCAUGCAUGCGCUGAGCGAGUCAUUACUCGCGCUAAGCGCAUCAACCCCUACCCAUUGGAUGAUGGGGUCUCGCUAAGCGAGCCUUGUGCACUAAGCCUAAAAACCUCUUUGAAAUUGCAUUUAAUGGAAUUGGGCUAAGUGAGUCAUCUCGCUAAGCGCACAACAUAGUCUCGCUAAGCGAAACUUUGCGCUAAGCGCAAUUCCUUCUCUGUCUGGACCAUCAUGUGAAUUGGGCCCAGCGGGUCAGCCCGGUAAGCCCAAAUCCCUCUCGGGUAUGGAAUUGCGCUAAGUGAGACGGUCUCGCUAAGCGUGCCCCACUACUACAUUAGGAAGCAUUUAAUUCGCUAAGCGGGCACCUAUCCCGCUAAGCGAAAGUUGCAGACCAAUCAAAGCUGCAGAUCAUGCUAAGUGCAUACCUUUCGCGCUAAGCCCAAAUCCUUCUCGGGUUUUCUAAUUUUCGAAUUAGGCUGAGCGAGUCUAUCAUACUGAGCACGUGAAUUUAAAAUCUGAAAAUUCAAAAGUCACUGAGUGCUUGCUUAGUGAGUCACUCGCACUAAGCGAGACAGUUGAAACUGCCAAAAAUAAGACUUAACUGCUCUGGGCAGUUUCUUUUAUGCAAUUUACAAAUUUCUUCUACUUGCAUCUUUGUCAUUUCUGUACUCAUAUGCACUGCACACUCACUUUCUCUGCUUCUUACUCCCAACUUGCAUUCUCUACUCACUGCAAUCCAAGUAACUACUUCUCACUUUGCCUUUUUAAUUUUCAUUUAUGAACCUUAGGAUAGAAGCCAUGCUUAGGUUUUCAAAGCUUUGAUUAUGUGUUGAUUCUACUGUCAUUAGGGUAGUUAUUAAAAACCAUGUUCUUAGGGGUUUUGUUUCGCACAUAAUGUAUGUUGUUUUGCUGUGAAUUGCUUAGGUUUUGAGGCCUAAUAGAGGCCUAUAGUUGGGGGCUGCAAAGCCCCAAUUUUUUUGGAAUUCUCGAUGUUCUCGCUAUGCGAGCCCGUUCGUUAAGCAAGUUCAUCAAUUCUUGAUGAAUUUCUGGGUUUUUUGAUGAACUCGCUAAGCCAGCCCUGUCCCGCUAAGCGUGUUCAUCAUUUUUGUUUAAAUGUUUGAAUGUAUGUAUGAAAUCGCUAAGCCACUGCACUUUAGCUUAGCGAGUGCUUAAAUUUCCAGAUUUUGUUUUUAUGUUCGUAUGAACUUGCUAAGCUAGCAUAUCACGCUUAGUGAGUUGUGUUGCUUAGGUCAGAGUCAACGAGGUUGUUAGUCUUCUGUUGGUGGCUAAGCAAGUCAGUCUCGCUAAGCCACCAUGCCUCUAUAGCUUGAAUAAGCCUGGGCUAAGCAAGUCAGUCUCGCUAAGCCUAAGGCAAUUUAGUUUUCCGAGUUUUUGUUCAUGUGCUAAGCGAGUUAGUCUCGCUAAGCGCAAUUUCUUCUCUGUUUUGGAAUUAGGCUUAGCAAGCCUGCUCGUUAAGCCAAUUAUGUUCCAGUGGUCAAGUUUGGCUAAGCGCUUGCUGGCGCUAAGCCUGUAUAGUGUGUCACUCUAAGUGAGUCAGUAUCGCUAAGCGCAAUUAGCUCUCUGUCAGAGAAUAAGGCUUGGUGAGCCAUGCUCGCUUAGCCAUUAUGUUGUUUCAGCUAAGCGAGUGUGUCUCGCUCAGCCAAAGUCUGUGUUUUUGUGUUGUCGUGCUAAGCGCGCCCUGUGCGCUAAGCGUGUGCUGUUAUUUUCAUAAGCGAGUCAGUCUCACUAAGUGCCCAGUCUGUUUUUCUGUUUUAUUUUUCUAUUUUCAGUUUGAGAUAAAACCUGUCUAACUUGAUUCCUGUGAUUCUUUUUUGAUGCAGAUGGCCUCCUGGAAAAGGAAAUGCACCGCCUCCCGGCCCUAGGAGCCUUAUGACACUACCAGAUUUAUUUCUGAGGCUACCUAGGAGAGGUAUUCCCAGAAUGUUCACUCUCGGAACAUCCUUCUGGAGAGGAACGUCACUCUUUAUGUCACAGAAUAUGAUGAGUUCCGCUAGGAGCUCGAGAGGCGAUGUUGGCAUAAAGCCUUGACCAGGCAAAUGGAUGGGCAUAUAAUUGAAGCCCUGGUCAAGGAGUUUUAUGUGAAUUUGUAUGAUCCUGAAGACAAAUCCCCCAGGCAAGUCAGAGUGCAGGGGAAGCUAAUCAAGUUUGAUGCCAUCUCUCUUAAUGCCUUCCUGGAGACGCCACCAGUUCUUCAGCCAGGGGAGCAGUACACUUCUUAUUCCAUUUUCUGUUGAUCAUGCCCAAAUCCUUAAGAGCUUGCUUCCAAGCUCUGCAUUCCAGGGCGCGGAUUUGUUUUGAAUGCUGAAGGGGCACCCUGAAAGCUCCUGAGGAAGGACUUGACUACUCUGGCACAGACUUGGAGUGUCCUGUCCUAUUCUAACAUCGCCCCCACCACUCACACGUUCGAUCUGAAUAUAGACCAAGCAAGGUUAGUUUAUGGAUUGGUUAUGCGAAUGGACAUGGACUUUGGCUUGCUCAUCCCAGGCCAGAUCUCACAGAUGGCCCAGUCUAACUCCUAUCGACUUGGCUUCCCAACCCUCAUCACUGCUUUAUGCAUCGCCUAGGGAGUCGUCUUAGAUUCACUAACAUUUGAGUCCCUGAGCCCCGCCAUUAACUUGGCAUACAUCUUGAAGAAUUUUUGGAACCCAGAUGAUCCUUCGAUCACCUUUCCGGGGACCCGUAAGGCUCGGGCUUGGGGACCAUCGAAUGCUUCUGCUCCUUCUUCUUCUUCUUCUUCUCCAGUUCCAGCCCCAUUUUCUUCUGCUCCAAAUUCUACUUAUGCACCUCCAGUACCUUCCGGCCCCUCCGCUCUAAGCUCAGACGCCAUGGUGACGAUGUUGUAGAGCCUUCACCAAGGCUUAUGCCUAGUGAUGCAGAACAUUCAUAACUUGGCUCAGCAUCGACCCAUCAUUAGCAUGGAGGAUUUCAUGGCUCGGGUGGUCUGGCCAGGAGUCCAACCUUCUCCUUUGGGGGGAGGUGAGGCUCCUACAACCCAGGAGCCGCAGCCAGAGGCACAGCCCACGUCGGAGGUCACAUAGGAGGCUACACCAGAGGUCUCACCUGCUGCCACACCACUUGUGGAGGUCUCUUAGGAGGAGGAUGGUGCUGCAGACACCGAUUAUGCAGCUAAUAUGGUAGCAACAUAGAACACUUGGGAUCCCUGGCCCACAGCAGCACAGAAGACAUCUCAGUCAGCUCAGGAUGCUCCUUCCUCACCUUGGGAUGAUCAGAUACCGGUGCAGGAUGAGUGAUGACAGGACUAUCAUUUAUUUUCCUACUUUAGAUACAGUUUUAUGUUUUUAGUUUCAGUUUAUUUAGUUAGCAAAUUUCAAAUCUUCUUGAACAGUUUACAUUCAUUUAUGCAGUGGUUGUUUUGGUUUGGAAUUUCAGUGUUUGUGAAUGAUUUGAAAUUGAUCAAUGGCAUGAAUUAAGUGAAUUGUGAUGAUUAGAUCACGUGCUUUGAAUGAGUAUGCAAUAAUUAGAAGAGAAAGAACAUGAAUUAGGGAUGUGAGUGAAAAUGUUAGUUGGUUUGACAGGUAAAUUGUGAAGGUAAUCAUUAGCCAUAAACUGGUGAGUUGUGUGAACCUUAAUUGUGAGAGAAUGACUAGCAUUGAGUACCGAUUUUUGCAUGAAUCUCUGAAUACUGAAUGAAUGCAUGAAUUUGGAAAUGAUGAAGGUCAUGAUUGAUUGAAAUAGCCACUUAGCUAAAUAGUUUACCUUGUUCAUGAAUGAAUUAUCCUUUGCACCCACGUUGAGUUUAAACUUGAUUGAUUAAAUUGAACCCUGAGCCUGUUGAAGUGUAAUCUCCAUCUACCUUUUCUUAGGUUGUAGGAGAGCAUCAUGGUUCAAAGCAAAUUUGUCCCAAAUUUGGGGGAGGAUGUUGGGUGACAAUAAUUGUGGUAAGACAAAUAACAGCCACACAAAAAUAUCAGAAAGUAGUAAGUAAAAACUGCUAAAAUAAAAAAAAAAAGAAAAAGAAAAAAAGAAAAGAGAAAUUUCAAGAAUAAAAGUAUGUGUGUGUUGUUACUUAAGCUAAGUGCCUUAAAUGUUGAUUGGCAAGUCAGUAGAAGCUGGGAAUAAAAAGAAAAAGAGUUGAUCUAAGGAUGAAUGCUCUCCUAGAACCUAAGUUUUGCAUCCUAGAAAAACCAUGAGUUGUUUGCAGCCUAGCCUCAUUACAAGCCAAGAAAGUCCUUCAGAUUCAAUUUAUGUGUUUGUGAUUGUAUGGCAUGAGAUGAAAUGCAAAAGUUGAGACUUGUGUUGGUUGUUGACUGAAGAAUUGCCUUAAACACUUGUGCUUAUGAGUGAAAUAGUGACAAUGAGGAUUUGGCUUGAUGAACCUUCCUUGAUACCUAUCUUGCUUGCUAGAUUAUUUCACUUGUGUUGCUUAAUAACCAUGUUCAGAUCUUUGAAAUUCUGCAUAUCUUUAUGAGAAGUUGUUGGUUGAAAGCAAUGUUUGCCACUUGUGUUCAUAUGAUUGAAUGCUUUGGAACAAACACAAUUUUUAAUAACCACUGUGAUUUUGUCACUUGAGGACAAGUGAACUGUUCUUUCCUUGCUUGAGGAUAAGCAAAAUUGUAAAUUUGGGGGAGUUUGUUAGUUGUCAUUUAUGACUAACUUUUGUAUUGAAAAGCUUCAUGAAAUUUAUAUCUUUUCCCUAAUUUAUGGUUCUUUUUGUAGGUUUGUACAUAUUUUUUUUUGUUUAGUUUAAUUUUACUUAGUAGAUAUUCCCAAUAUUGUGAUUUAAUGUGGUUCAACUUCAGUUUCAGGCCAAAGGAUGAAGAAGAAGAAGGUUGAAGCAGCUAGUGUCUCGCUAAGCGAGGCAUAUGCACUUAGUGAGUAACAUCCGCUAAGCGAGGCACUCAGCUCGCUUAGCGAGUGGGAAAAAUCUAGAAGAGAAUCUUCAGCUCGCUCAACGAGUCAUUUGUCUCUUCUCUCACUCAGCGUGCCCAGCUCGCUAAGCAAAAAUCCACUAACUCGCGCUUAGCAGGAAAAUGGCGCUAAACGAGCCUUCAGGAUCAAAAAGCCCUUAAAAGACUAAAGUUGGCGAAAAAAUAAGGGGAGUUCAGUGAGUUUUUAUGAAGAGAGACAUAACAGAGCAAGAGAGAAAAGCUUGAACGAAAGGCCUCAACUAAAUUAUGUCUAGACACAGAGUGCAGGGAUUUAGUUUAUAAUAUGUUGUAAUCUUAAUGCAAUUCAUUUAGGCUAAGUUUGACGAGGAAUCUAGAAUGAAGCUUAAAUAGAAUUAGACUCAUUCACUAGAGGAAUCUUGGUUUGAGUAGUCAUUUUCGGCAUAGAAACACAUAAACAACCUUAAAUAGAGAAAAACACUUAAUUACAUCAUUUUGUUCAGUAGAAGGACCCAACGUUUUCAUCAUCUGUUUAUCUCUCACAUUUAGAUAGUUAAUUUUGUAGUUAAAUUAAAACUGUAGACACAACUUCUCUUUAUAUUUACUGGCUUUAUACAACUGCUUACCUACUGAAUGAAUGCUCCCUGAAUGAAACAAGUUCCAUGUGGACUCGACACUCGGUCUUACCGUUUUAUAUAUUACUUGUGCGACUCGGUGCACUUGCCGAUUAACAUUUCUAACCUGUGAAACAAGUAUUUUAGCGAGAAGCGAACACUGCUCUUGUUGUUGCUGAAGUUAGUAUGCCAACUGCUUUGGUUGGUUCUGUUAUGGCACCAUCGUCCACCGUCGCUACACCUUUGUUGAGUGUCGGUGUAGAGACCAUCAGUGCUCUUGUGGUGUCUCCUCCUUCCUCUUCGGCUCCAAUGGUCAUCCCUCCACUGCGUUGGCGGCGACAUCACCUUCUUCGUCUUCUUGUCCCCGUGUCUCCUUGGAUCAUUUGUACACCUUUAGUGAUACUGAUUCACUAUGGGGUACAAGUUACAAGCUGGAGCAGAAGACCCCAAUUGGCUUUGUUUUAGCCUUUGAUAAGAACCUUAUUAGGUCAGCUGGGGUGCAGAAUGCUACGCAUUUUGCCAAAGUUUUUCUUUAGAGAAGUUUGGCGAUUCUGGAGGAGAACGGAUAGUGGCACCAAGAGGCUUUGCAUAAGGUGGCAUCCUUGGAGGCAGAGGUCGCCAAAUGAAGGGCUACUGCUCGCACAGUUUGGAGAGUGGACCACCCUAAGGUGACUAAUGCCACCAUAGCCUUUGUUAAGGUCGUAAGGUCAAAUCGCCAACUGCCUUCCAAAGUUGGUGGUGUGUUGGCCAAGUUGCUACGCACCAAGUUGGAUGGUGAUGAAUUGUUCAAAUGCUACAAGGACUUGUAAGUGGAUAAAAGCUACCUAGCUAGCAAGAUGGAGGGCAUUGUGGCAGAGAGGGACGAGCUUGUGAAGGUGAAUGUUGAUUUAAAGGCUCGACUUAAGGAGUCAAAGUCUCGGUUAAAGGAGUACGAGCUGUGGGCUGCCUAGGAAAGGGAGGCCAGCAAGAAGCUUAAGGAGGAGUUGCUCGUUUACAAGAAGGAAGCCAUGGAGCAACAUGAAAAAGGAUUCAACAAGGCCGUCAGGCAGGCCGAGUUCUUUGCCAAGGACCUUGACUUGGGUCUCUUUGACCUUUAAAGGAUGUGAAGGACGAUGUCUUGCUUGACGAGGAAGAAAUUGUUGUGGACAAGGAGGCUAUUGAUGAAGAGCAGAGUGCUGAGGAGCAAGGCGAUGAUACUUGUGUCUAGGUUGCCUUUGCCUUUACCUUUCUUCUUUUCUUCAUUGUUAGAAUUUGAGUCAUAUAGGCCUUGUAACUAUGACAAUUAUUUUUAUUUUUCCUUAAUGCGUAUGUCUUCAAUGCACAUGCUUUCCUUCGAUGGUGAAUUUUUUCCUAUGUGUAUGUUAUGUAUGUUGCCUUUGUCUAUGCAACACUCUAUUACUUGUGGUAGUAUGGAUAGGCCGUCGUGAUGGUAAGUAUAGAAUCUUUGAUGGCAAAAGUAUUUACGCUGAAUACUUGUUCCACUGGUCAGUGAUGCUAAUCAGCAAGUGCACUGAGUCGCACAAGUAAUAUAAAAUGGUAAGACCGAGUAUCGUAUCCACAGGGAACUUGUUUCAUUCAGAGAUCAUUCAUUCAAUAGGUAAACAUUUGUAUAAAGCCAGUAAAUAUAGAAAGAAGUUGUGUCAAAAGUUCUAAUUUAGCUACAAAACUUACUAUCUAAAUAUGAGAGAUAAACAGAUGAUUAAAACGUUCGGUCUUUCUACUGAACAAAAUGAUGUUAUUAAGUGUUUUUCUCUAUUUAAGGUUGUUUCUGUGUUCUAUGCCAAAAACGACUAGUCAAACCAAGAUCCCUCUAGUAAAUGAGUCUAAUUCUAUUUAAGCUUCGUUCUAGAUUCCUCGUCGAACUUAGCUUAAACGAAUUGCAUUAAUAUUAUGACAUAUUAUAAACUAAAUCCCUGCACUCUGUGUCUAGACAUACAGUUCUCUAGCCUGCUCUAUCCAGUUCUAAGGAUUUAAAAUACUUUCCAAUGCUAAAAAUCUUAACUUUACACACAAAUGGGUGAUCAAGCCACAAGCAUGCAAGAAUUAAAUACAGAUAGAAGCAAUGAACACAUAAAAACAACUUUAAAUAGAUAGUGAAGAUUUUUACAUCAAAGCUCAGCAGAAAUCCCCAACAAGAGAUUUAGCAUUCCAUUACAAGUUAGCACCUUUCAGCACCAAGAUGAGGUUUUUGAAGGAAAAUUAAGAUUACAAAGUGGUGGGGAUGUCUCCUCCAUCUCUAAAAACCUAACAAUCACUCAUAAACCUAAAAUCCUCUUGAAAGCUGAGGCCUUUCGUUCAAGCUUUUCUCUCUUGCUCUGUUUUUCGGCUUUGUUACGUCUCUCUUCCAUAAGAACUCCCUAUUUUUUCUCCAACUUCAGUCUUUUAAAGGCUUUUUGAUCCUGAAGGCUCGCUUAGCGCCAUUUUCUCGCUAAGCGCGAGUUAGUGAAUUCUCACUUAGCGAGCUGGACGCACUGAGUGCGAGAAGAGACAGAUAACUCGUUGAGCGAGCUAAUGGUGCACUGGGCGCGUGCAUGAAUGGCAGAUUUUCUUCCAGAUUCUCCCCACUCGCUAAGCGAGCUAAGUGCCUCGCUUAGCAGAUGUUACUUGCUAAGCGCAUAUGCCUCGCUUAGCGAGACACCAACUGCUUCAACCUUCUUCUUCUUCAUCCUUUAGCCUGAAACUGAAGUAGAACCACAUUAAUUCACAAUAUUGGGAAUAUCUACUCAGUAAAAUUAAACUAAACAUAAAAAUAUGUACAAACCUACAAAAAGAACCAUAAAUUGGGGAAAAGAUAUAAAUUUUAUGAAACUUUUCAAUACAAAAGUUAGCCCUAAAUGACGACUAACAACAAGAAGCAAGACCUUGGCAAUGUAGAGGUAGGACUGUGGUGGUCUUGCAAAAAUUAGAUGACAAGAAAUCAUCUCAGGUUUGAUUUCAACCUGGUUAAAGGUCUUGUCACCCAUUUGGUAGGGCUUCCUUUUGCUUUGUGGAGCUUUUCCCCUGAUGUUUGUCAGAAGUAUGUUUGACUUGCUCCUGGUUGAAGGUUUUGCUAGCCAGUUUGGGGGUAGGUCGUGUAACCUGCGAAGCUUCUCCUUUAAUGGUUAUGAAGAGUAAGUAUGACUUCCACUUGAUUGAAGGUCUUUCAAAAUAGUCUAGUGGUAGUUCAUUUUGUUGAAUUUGGACCUUUGACGAUGGUCAUCGUAGUUGGUGCAAGUGAGCAGACCAAAGGGGUGCCUUGGGUUUUGUAGGAGUACUUACCAAGGGUGGACCUUGGGGUUUGGAGGAGUGUGUUCCAAGGGUAGACCUUGGGUUUUUGAUAUACUUGUAUUCCUGCACAGAUAAAAAUUAGUAAUAGAGAAGAUCAUUAAGGGUAAACCUUGCAUACCUUGAGUUCCUAUGGAGAUGGAACUUAGUAACAAAAAGGGCUCACCAAGCAUGAACCUUGGGUUUAUCGAGCCUUGGACCGGGGAUGUAUUUGCCCUAGGUUUUAUCAAGCUUGUGGAGCUGCGUCGAGGCUUACCAAGGAUGAGCCUUGGAUUUUGUGAAACUAUAAGAAUUACCAAGCAUGGAGCUUGGAUUUAACGAGUCUUAUGUGCAGCAAAAGUGUUGUGCACUUGCAUACAUGGCACUAGCCGUGGAUGGCAUGUACUAGAGAUGUAAUGGUGUGCUCUUGCAUACGUGCCUCUUACAAAGUGACAUGUAUUAGAGACAUGGUGGUGUAAAUUAGUAGGACCCACCAAGGGUGGACCUUGGGUUUUACGAUCCUUUUGGAGGAUUAACCAGGGGAUUGUCUGACUUGGGUUUUGGGCAUCAUGCUUUUGCAUGCAUGCCACUUGCCAUGGGUGGCAUAUACUAGAGUCAUAGUAUUGUGCUCGUGCGUACAUGUCGCUUGUCGUGGGUGACAUGUACUGGAGACGUAAUAGUGUGCUUGUACGUACAUGUCACUCACCGUGGGUGACAAGUACUCGAGACUUAGUAGUGUGCUCAUGUGUAUAUGUCACUCGCCGUGGGUGACACGUAUUGGAGACAUAGUAGUGUGUUCAUGCGUACAUGUCACUCGCCGUUGGAGGCAUGUACUAGAGAAAUAAUAGUGUGCUCGUGCGUACAUGUCACUCGUCGUGGGUGGCAUGUACUGGAGAUGUAGUAAUGUGUUUGUGCGUACAUGUCACUCGCCACGGGUGGCAUGUACUGGAGAUUUAAUGCUAGAGGGAGGGCUCACUAAGGGCAAUUCUUGGGUUUUAAGAUCCUUGGAGCUACGACUAUGGAUGCUCGUCUUGAUAAGGGAAAUGUGAGAAGGGGUGUAAAAUUUUUAUUCAAUGUAUUUGAUUAAGUACAAAUUACAUUAAUUAUCCUAGAUGUGCCUCGUUAAAACCUCUCAAGCCAAAACCCUGAUUUUUCUAUUUUUGGGACAAAAGACCUGAGUAGGAAAAAAGUACAACAUUGGGUUUGCAUUUAGGUCAACUGAAGUAAAACUUUAGGUGGGUGAAGUUCCACGUUCUUGGAAUUGCUUUGCCAUCUAGGUCUUGUAGUCUAUAUGCUCCGUUGCCAAGGUUGGUUGUGACCCUGAAUGCUCGUUCCCAGCUGGGGCCAAGCUUUCCCGCUUGGGAAUCUUUUCUGGCUUCACCUUGGACUCAUCAUACAAUGUCACCAGGUUGAAAGGCUCGUGGUUGAACCUUUGCAUUGUAUCUCCUUGCUGCUCGGAGCUUGGCAGCUUCUUCCCUGAUCCUCGCCAUAUCUUGGACUUCGUCUGUGGUUUCGAGUUCUACCUUCAUAUUUUCUUCAUUUUGCUGUUGAUGGAACAACAAUCUCCUUAUUGACAGUUCCCUGACUUCAACAAGGAUCAUGGCGUUUGUGCCAUAUGUGAGUCGGUAAAGAUUUUCAUUGGUUGCUAUCUGGGGUGAACAGUGGUACGCCCAGAGUAUGCUGGAGAGCUCCUUUUUCCAUAGACCCUUAGACUUGUUGAGUCUAGUACGUAGCACCCUAAGAAUGACUCUAUCAAUUGCCUCUACCUGACUAUUGGUCUGAGGAUGUUCGACAAAGGUGACUAGGUGCUUUAUGCCUAGCCUUGUCAAGAAGUCUUUGUAAGUCUGAGCUUUGAAUUGAGUGUUGUUGUCUGUGAUAGUGGCAUAUGAGAGGUCGUACCUACAGAUAAGGUGUUUCCAGGUGAAUUUCUCCACCUCGUUGGCCGUAAUUUCCCACAGUGGUUUUGCUUUUAUCCAAUUGGUGAAGUAGUCGAUAACAACUAGCAAGUAUUUGACUACUCCUGGGGCCUUUGGCAGUGAUCCCAAUAUGUUCAUUCCCCAGGUGGCGAAGGGCCAAGGGGAGCUUAGAUUGUGGAGAUUGUUAGGAGGGGUGCAUGGCAGAUCUAUACCUCCUAGUAAAGUUGAUGGUGUCUGCCCUGAGUGUUGGCCAAUAGUAGUCGGCUCGCACCACUUUGGUCGCAAGGGAGCAUCCUCCGUUGUGGAGACCACAUAUCCUUUCAUGAAGUUCUCUCAUGACGUAGUUUUCCUGUUAGGUGUUUAGGCAUUUGAGUAGGGGUGUUGUCAACCCUUUUAUGAAUAGCUUGCCAUCAAGGAUAACGUUGUAGUUGGCCUUUCAUUUGAGGCGUCAGGCUUCGUCCUCAUUUGGUGGUAGUUCCCCUCGAAUUAGGAAGUUCUUGUAGGGGGUCAUCCAUUCUGGUUCCUCUUCUUCUCUAGCCAUAACUUCCUCAACAUCUAUGGUGGGAGUUUAGAGGGUUUCCCAGAUGAUAGUCUUGAGGUGCCCGACCUUUUUGGUGCUGGCCAGCUUGGAGGGUCUCCCUGGGUAUGUAGUACAUUUUGAAACAUUCAAAAUUUUCAAUGAAAGUCUUCAUGAUGUGAUAGUACUUGAGCAACAUUGUUUCCUUAGUUUGGUAUCUCUUAGCAACUUGUCCUUGGACAAGCUGCAAGUUUGUGUAGCAUCGUAACCUCUUGGCUCCGACUUCUCUUGAUGGCUUCAAACUUGCAAUGAGCACCUCAUACUCUACCUAGUUGUUUGAGGCUUUGAAAUUGAGCUUGAGGGCUUGCUCUAGAGUGACAUUGUUAGGGCGUUCGAGGAUGAUUCCUGCCCCGUUUCCUUUUACGUUGGACACACCAUCAAUGUAAAGGUUCCACUAGUCUGGGAUGGUUGUGUCGUUUCCAGUGAAUUCUGUUAGAAAGUCAGUCAUGAAUUAUGUCUUUAUGAGGCUGCGAGGUUUGUAGUCGAUGUAAAACUCUGAAAGUUUGACGAAUCAGGCCACCAUCCUUCAUGAGAGUUCAAGCUUUAGCAAAACUUGCUUAAUGGGGUAGUUCGUUUUGACGACCACUUGAUGACUCUAGAAGUAGGGCCUGAGUCGUCGGGCCAAGGUAAUGAGUGCUAGCGCUACCUUUUCUAUCAUUUGGUAGCUCUUUUUAGCGUCAUGAAGUGUGCAACUGGUGAAAUAAAAAGGGAGUUGGUGUUUCCCUUCCUCUUGUACGAGCAUUGAGCUAAUGGCUUUGUCAGCUACUGAGAGAUACAAAAGUAGGGGUACUUUUGGCCUGGGUCAACUCUAAACUAGUGGUGUGGCUAUGCUCUUCUUGAAAGCUAGGAAAGUUUGUUCGCAAGUCUCAUCCCAUAGGAAGGGCUCAGGAUUUUUGAGCAAUUUGUAAAAUGGCUUUGCCUUUUCAGCAAGCCUCGGGAGGAACCUAGACAUGGAUGCUAGCCUACCAUUCAAUUUCUGAACUUCAUAGAUGUUAGUUGGGCUGCACAUCUCUAGUAUGGUAAUGCAUUUUUUAGGGUUGGCUUCAAUUCCCCGGUGAGUGAUCAUGAAGCCAAGGAACUUUCCUCCGCCUACCUCGAUAGUAUAUUUUUUGGGGUUGAGGCGCAUGUCAUAUUUACAGAGUUCCCCAAAGACUUCUUCCAGGUCUGUCAUGUGUUGAGCUAUGCUUUGAGACUUGACGUCCAUGUCAUCCACAUAUAUCUCGAUGUUUCAUCCGAUCCACUAUUUAAAGACUCGGUCCAUCAGUCGUUGGCAUGUAAUGCCUGUGUUUUUUAGGGCGAAGGGCAUGACCCUGUAGCAAAAGUUGGCAUCUUCUGUGAUAAAUGUCAUUUUCUCUUCGUUUGGAGCAUGCAUCCUGAUCUAGUUGUAUCUUGAGUAAGUAUCCAAGAAGCUUAGAACCUAAAACACGGAGGCUCCAUCGACUAGCCUGUCGAUAUUGGGCAAAGGGUAUGCAUCUUUGGGGCACGCCCUGUUUAGAUCAGUGUAGUUGGUGUACAUUUGUCAUUUGUCGUUGGUCUUUUUGACCAUGACGACGUUGGCGAGCCAAGUGGAGCACCUAACUUCUCUAAUGAAGUUAGCGUUGGGGAGUUUGUCGACUUCUUCUUUGAUAGCUUUGCAUCGUUCUUCACCCAUCUUUCUUUUCUUUUGUGAUAUUGGUUUGGCUUGGGGAUAGAUGGAAAGUUUGUGGAAGAUGAUGUUGGGAUGGAUUCUCGGCAUCUCAGAUGGGUGCCAAGAAAACAAAUCAAAAUUUUUGUGUAACACAUCAGCGAUGCACCGGUGCUCAUGGCUGGUGAGGUCCCUACUCAGCUGCAUACACUACCCAGGUUUAGGUCCGAGCUGCAGCUUGAUGAGCUCUUUGAUGGGUUUUGGGCCUUUGUGUCACACGGAUCUAUGUCGAAUUUCUAGGCUUGCUUGGUAGACGGUCAGGGCUCGGAUUGGAGACCCUUUAUUCACGCUCAUGACUUGAGUGCCUUCAGCUAUUGUGGGGUGAGGAUAUGGUGCUACCUUCAAGCUUUUUGCAUAGCAUUGUUGUGCUUGCUUUUGUUCUGCCAUGACGGUUAUUAUCUCCCUGGUUAGGGUAUGGAAUUUCAUUUUCAAAUGGGGCAUGGAGAUUAUGGCUCUAAGCUCAUUAAGUGUCUUCUUGCCGAUUAAAGCAAAAUAUAAUGUAUCUGCAUCAACAAGUAGAUAUCUUAUGGUGAAUCUCCUAGAAAGCUUGCCUUGAUCGAAGGUGGUCAUUAAGUCAGUAUAGCCUCUGGUCUCUACUCUUUCCCCUGUAAAGCUGAGGAGUGGACCAGCGUGAGGGUGGACAGUGUCGGGGGAGACCUCGAGUGUCUGGAAAGUUUUUAAAUACAAGAUAUCAGUGGAACUGCCCUGGUCGAUGAGGACCUUAGACACCAUGAAGUUUGCAAUGAUGAUGGAGACAACCAUGGGAUCGUCCUGGUUGACGAGGUUGAUACCCUUGAAUUCCCUAUCUGUGAAGGUGGUAGGAAGGAGACUUCGUUGUGAUGGUGCAUCGACAAAAUUGAUGUCGAUGUUUCGAAUGGCGUGAAGAUGGCAUUUUCGGGAUUGUUCGCGGCCAGCAAGUGUACCGGAUCACACAAGUAGUAUAAAAUGGUAAGAACCAAGUAUCGAACUCUCGGGGAACUUGUGUUAUCUGGAAAGCUAUUUCGGUAAAUAGGUGUCUGGUAUGAAAAGAUGAUUGUGGUUAUGAACAGGUAUGUAAACUAUCUAUGCAAAAAGAAAGAAAAUCACGUAAGAGAAAUGUUGUAUAAAAACAAGUAGAGAACAGGUUGGUCUUCCUAAUAGGUUCCUGAUGCUAGAACGAAUGUUCUCUAUCUAACAAUGCCCAUGUAUUCCUAUGUUGUCUCCUGGAUUGUUAGACCCCGAUUCCUCAUGAUAGCCUAGCCUAAUCCAGAUCAAGCCUCGUCCGCAGAUUCUUCUUGUAAGACUAAACUCAACCAGGACCGCAUUAAGACACACAUACACAACUAAGUUCUUGUACCCCGAUUCCUCGUGACAGCACAACAACUUAGCCCCAUACUAUCAAGGACUUUAGAAUCAGACUAGUUUCCACUGUUGAAUGACCCUAACAAAGCAUGCAUCUACGUGAUCAAGGUAAAGGCAUACUAGAAUGAAAAGCAGAUAGCACAGAGAACACACAAAACAUCAUUACAGAGAUAGAAAUAUAUUUACAUCAGGUACCUACAGGGAAGAUCCAAUAGAGGAUUUAGCUUUCCAUGGUUCGGAAACCUCCUUUACAACACAGAGAAGAACAAGAUGAAAGAUAGCAAAAAUACAAGUGGUGAGGAUGUCUCCUUCACCUCUAGGAUCUCACAAUCACUCACAAACUUAUCUCAAGUUCUCAGAACGACUUCCGCUUCGAGCUCUCGUCUCUGCAGAUCUUCACACAGCAAAAUCUCUCAGAACUCUUUGGAACUUGGACCUUUCUCUCUCUAGAACUUCCUAAACAUGCAAAGCUUCAAGCCAAGGUUAGACUCUCGUGCAUGUAGAGGCUUUUUCAAGAAAAAUGCCAAACUCCCUCAAAAAAUCUGAUUUCAAGUUUAAAUAGGUGGGUUGGUCCCUACUCGCACGCUUAGCGUAAAUCUGAAUCGCUUAGCACGCAUAAGUGGAUUGUGGCUUACCACGCUUCUCUCACUUAGCGGAUGAGCUGAAGUGGUGCGCUUGAUGACCUGGAGUGGUGCCCUCAGCGAACCUGACAGAUCAUCUUCUUCUAGAUUCUUCCUCGUGCUUAGCCAUUGAGUGUCACGCUUAGCGAAUGCUCGCUAAGCCAGCAGAUUGGCUUAGCGAGAAGGUGAAAACAACAUUUUUACCAAUUUGCCUAAUUAACCUGAAAUUAAGAGAAAUUGAUUAUUAAACACACAAAACAAAAGUAUAAAUUAUCUAUUAUCUAUAUUUAACAUAAAGUACUUAUAAUAUUAUAAAACAACUAUAAAUUGGAGAAGUUUGAUACAAUAUACACAAGUUUUAUACACAAAAGUUAGUCGUUUUCACAGACUAACAGGGACUAGUUGGACUAUCCUCAAUAGGAAAAUCCGCCCGCAAUGGUGUUGAUUCACCCCUAAUUUGUUAGGCGGAUUCCUGUUCUUGUGGAGGUUGUCGUUCACACCGUUGUUGUUGGUGUCUCUGUCUUCCUCGGUCUUCCGCUCUAUCUCUUCUUCUAUUUGCAUUGUGAAUCCUUUAUUGCUCCUCUGGGUCUUGUUCCAACUUGGUAGUUGUCUGGCCUAUUGACAAACUGGGCUAGGUACCCAACUUGUAUAAGCUUUUCUAUCUUGUCCUUAAGGGGCCAACAAUCUUCUGUGUUAUGACCAAUACCGUGAUGAUACCUGCAGUAUUUGGUUACGUCUAACCCCGACCUAGGAGGUUUCGUUGGGGGUAGCCUGAUGGGAACCUUUAAGUUGAAAGCUUCCUCUAGAAUUGUAGUGUGAUUAACCGUUAGGGGUGUGUAACGCUCAUACCUGGACCCUUUUGGGAAAGGUUGAUGCUUGUCUGACUUGUGUAAGUCGGUCUUGGUACUUCUUUCUCACUUGUCGAGCUUCUGUAUGACUUGUUUGACUUCAUUCUUGAAUUUGGACAUUUUUCCAUCUGGAUGUAGCCUUUGGCUUACUCGCGCAACUCGUCCAUGCUAUCAUGGAUUUUUUUUUUGCACAGAUUGUCCGCAAAAUUGUUGGGGUGUAGGGCGAGGAGCAUGGAAUGCAACGCUACCUUAGGGUUAAGAUUUUGGAUUUGGACGAUUGUGCGCCCAAAUCUAUCCAUGAAUUUUCUGAGAGACUCGUCAUUUGCUUGUCACAGACUGGCUAAGGCAGUCGAGGUCAUACAGUGAGAUCUACCGGUUACAUACUGCACACUGAAGUGUUCAAUGAGGGUGUCGAAGCUGUCUAUAGACCUAGGUGGUAGUUCGUUGUACUAGGUCAAUGUCGCCCCCUUAAGGGACAUUAGGAAGACAUGACAUAGAAUCACAUGUCAUCAUUAGUGUAUAGGUUCGCCCGAGUCAGGAAGGCAUUUAGGUGCUCAUCUGGGUUUAUGGUCCCAUCAUACCACUCGAGGUUGAGUGGUUUCCACCCCAAGGGUAUGUCAGCCUCCAUGAUGCAGUCAACAAAGGGAUGUUGACGAGUAGUCCGCCCUACUGGACAAUGCAUGUGGGAGAGACUUAAGUCAUCUACAGUGUUGACUGUGCGUCGGGGGUGUGAUUCCCCUUGGAUGUGCUCAAGCAAUGUGUGAGCGAAGUGCUCAUUGCCUUGGGGACGUCUGAUACGAGCCUCCAGCUGAUCAUGGUCAGCCUUUAGCUUUCUCAGCUCCUCCUCAUAGCAUUGCUCCUUCUCCGUAAUUCGGUUUUGAAGUUGCUAUAGAGAAUUUGUGUCUGUCAUAACUGCCGAAUGAGGAUGAAAGUCUUCGAAAGGAGUCUUGCGUCUAAGGCUAGACCAAGUGCUAACCAUGGGUGAAAAAGGAGAGAGUUGAUGAGAGAUCGCGGGGUAUAUUUUACCAUGUCCCCACGGUGGGUGAUAAAUGUACUUACCAAAAUCCGAAGCUAGGACACAUCAGGCUAGACGUGGCCAAUGUAGGCUCUUGAACUUCACACGUCGACUUAGAGAGGCACCUUUGUUAAGAGGACAAGAGGGGGGACCUGCAAAACAAAGGACUCUGAUGCUCAAGUAAGUAUAUGAGUUAGGAGAUAAAGCAAGUGUAUGCUUAAAUGUAGGCUCGAGUGAGCAAUAGAGAGAGAUAAGCAUAGGCUUGUUGCUUGUGUGCUGGUGUGUGUGGCAUGUGUUGAGGGUUCAGUGGAACCUAGUAUUUAUAAGAGUGGAGCAUAUUUGUGGAUUCUUGUUGGUAGGGGCUGUUAUAGCCUUUGCAGAUAAUUCUUGACUUAUAGAUAAUAGCUGAUAGCUUGUAGAUAAUGUUAGAGAUAAGCUGUAGUUUAUAGAUAAAAGCUAGAAAAUAACUGUACUUUGUAGAUAAUGUGUGGCUUUGUAGAUAAUUAAAUACCUGCCAGUAGAUAAAGAUACUCAAUUAUAUUCAAAUAUUAAUAGGUUAGAGAUAACCUGUUAGUCAGGGAGCCUAACUGCUAAGGGCCGAGUGUUCAUGCUCCUGUUGCAGGGCUGACGUGGAGGGUUGACACGUGUCUUAGAGUGUCAUGUAAGGUGUCAAUUAUAUUUUGUGGACCCUGGACAGUAAAUGUGAUUUCAUAUUAUUAAUUGAUUCAAUUGUUGUUGUGGUGCGAUUUUAAGAAUUAUUAUUGGAUGCAUGAAAUUAGGGAGUUUGUUGGUAGUUUUUUUAAUGGUAUUCUUAUAAUUUUGUAAGUUGAUCAUCACCUUCUGGGAAAGGAUGAUGAUAUACAUUUUAUUAUGAGAUUAUAAUGUUAUAUACCUCCAUCUGGGAUGAGAAUAAUAUUUAUUUAUAGAUACUCCCAUCUAAGAUGGGGGAGAGAUUCUAGAUACCUUCAUCUAUGAUAGGGAAGACUAUGAGACACCAUUACAUGAAAUAUGAGCUCAUAAACUUUUUGAAGAAUCUGAAAUCUACACUGAUUUUGGAAACCAAAAAAUUGAGUCUUGUGAUUCUGGGAAUCACUAAAUUAUGUCUGUUAUAUUUAUUUGAAUACACUGAGGUAUUGUUGUUUAUUUAAAUAUUUUAUUUAUUCAGAAUGUCAUGAAUUGUAAGUGUUUUAAUCUUAUUUUUAUUAGAGUAUACACACACACACAAAAUCUUAUUUUAAAUUCAUUAUGGAUACCAUGACUGAUUUUCGGAUUACAACGCCAGUUGAGAACAACAUUAUUUACAAAACUCUAAGUUUGUUUUAUUCACUAGGAUUAUCAUCUCAUUAAAAGUGUUGUUUUCAAAGCACAAGGAAGAAGUUUUUGGAAUUGAGGAGGCUUGAAAACUUAGUUACCUUUAAAUACAUUUUUAGCUUUGUUAGUACUCAGAAUAAUAUGUCGAAUGUGACUGAUUACGUUAUACUUUUAGUGUCGGUUAUUUUUAGAUACCUAUAUUUGAGAGUAAUAUUUUUACUUAUGUAAAGACUUAUUUAUUUGACUUUAUUUAUUAUACAUGAGGUAUUUUCGGACUAAUAUAAUUUUGAGAUUUUAUAUUCUUUUUAGUAUGAGUUGUUAUUUUAAUAAAGGCGUUAUGGUGGUUGUAGUAAUAGUGGUGAUUGUGGUGAUGAUAAAUUAAAUCUUUAAAAUAUUUAAUUUUCUAUUUGAUAAAUCUUAUAGAGAUUUUAUAAUUAAACGAGAAUUUAAUUUGAAUUUAAAAUAUUUUAAUCUUGACCUUACAUUUUAAUAUAAUGGAUGAGAAUGAUCAUUCUCAUUCUCACAUAAGAAGAUCAUUCUCACCUAAAACGUCCUUCGAUCUUUCUUUAUGUAUAUGAAACGUCUUCCUUUUUCUUUCUAUAUAAAGGGGAUUAACAACCAACACCAUAAAUAUUUGUAAAAAAAAAAACCCAUUGAAUUCCUUUGUCAUUAACUUUAAUGUAAGGAUAUUAUAAUAAUUUAUGUUUUAAUUUUAAUGUUUACGAGAGAGAAAAAAUGAUUGAUAAUUUAAUGCUUAGAGAAAAUUGUCUAAAAAUUAAUGUGGACAAAGAUGAGAGAAGAAAGAUAAAUAAUUAUUUUAAAAUUGAAUCAUAAAUUAAUAUAAUAUCCUUAAAUUAACUUAUUAUACAAAGGAAUUUAUUGAUUUUUUUUACAAAUAUUUAUGGUAUUCCUUAUAAAUACUUAAGUAUAAAAGUUAUAAUUUUUAUUUUAUAUCGAAUAAUGUGGAUUAACUAUUGACUUAUUAAGUUGAUUCCUGUCCUAAUAUUACGAUCGAAUAGAUUAUCAAUUCGAAUUCGAAUCUAAUAACAGUGCUCAAUAGCAACUUCAUCUAAUAUCUACAUGACAUGCCGCAUCAUUAAAAUUGAAAAUUUGAUCGGAUAUUUGAUCAAAAACAGAUCCAUACAAGUGAUAUCUUUUGAAAGAGAUCCAUUUUGGUAAAUAUUUAGAGAGGUAAAGGUCGAAGUAAAGGUAGAAGUAAAGAGACCCAUGUAAAAACUGACCCAAAUUGGUCAAAUAGCCGUUGUAAGUUAUAACCACGUGGAGUGGAGCAGCGACUGGUAAAGGUAGAAGUAACCAUAGCGAACGUCGUUUUAUUUCUUAUUCCCCACGUUUCAAAAAAACCGUGAAAUUUUCUUAAUCUGUUGGCCUUCUUCCACGAUUCCUCUGACCUUUCUUCUUCACUUUUAAUUUCUGGUCUUCGGUGAUACCCAAUCUAUCUUCCGUUCAAAUCCCAAACCCCCUUCGCAUCCAAUGCCCUAGUUUCGCUCCAUUCUCUCCGGUUCCUCCCCACGAUGUCCAGCGACACCUCCUUCGCGGACCGCAAGCUCUGCGGUUUCCUCUGUACGGUUCUCACACUCACUCCCCGCGACGACUCAGACACCACCGACAUACCCUUCCCCGAGCCAUGCGAAAUCUUCGGCGAAGGGGGCGAGGUCGGCUUCCGGACCCCGAACGGCGUCGUUCUGGGCCCGGUGCUCGAUUCGUUGCAAUGCGGCGGUGGCGGCGGUGGCGGCUCCAACAAGAUCAAGAGAAGGAACAAGAUUGGAAUGGUGAACGGGAGCGUGAGCGUGGUUCACCAGCUCCACGCCAUGGUCACUCGCAAGUGCGCCAGAAUCGACGCUCGCGUGGUGUGCGUUGAAGCGCUUCCUAGGGUUGUGGUGCUGGUUGACGUGUAUGUCCCCGUUCAGGUAUGGAGUGGCUGGCAGUUUCCGAGAUCGGGACCCGUCGCUGGCGCCGUUUUUCGCCAUUUGAGGUUAGCUUCUUCUUUCUCGCCUUCGAAUUCUUUGUAUUUAUGUUUAGGGAUUUAGUUACUAAUAACAUUGCAAUGUGUAGAGAAAGAUCACAUGAACGAUUUUGGUGAAUUCUGCAUAAGUAAUAGUUUGCCAUACUGUAGUUGUUUGAGGUUUUAAUUUUUAAACUGUGGUUGAGUGGUAUUUAUUGGUGUAUGUUUUGAUUAAAGUUUGAAAUCAUAGUGUAGCGUGGUUUUACAGUUUGAGCAAAGUUUUUGAAAUUCUGCACUACUUAGUCCUUUGACAGUUAGUCAGUUACCAUGCUAAAUUUGGCAUUUUUUAAAAAAAAAAUAAAAUUAAGGAAAUAAAUAACUAGUUUAGCUAGAUGUCAUGGUUUUAAUUGAAGGACUACAAGUACAUACUACUAGAGAUGGUGUAACUGUUUCAUGUGAUGUUGUCUGCGAUUUGAAUCUUUGGUUAUCUUAUUGCUUGUUUGGUCACGUGUGUUGGUGUGUAUUUAUGUGUAAAUCGAGAAGCUGUGAAUUGUAGCUUUCAUGUUAUUCUACAAUUUGACAUGAGAUUUUACAUGUAUAACAUAAAUCUGAACAGACUAUAAAUACACUAUAAUUAUUUAGUGGUGUGGAUGAGAUGGAAGAUAGUUGUAACCUAUGUAACUGAUGUAAUGUUCUUGCAAGGGUAGUUGCCGGAUUCUUUUAGCUACUCUGCAUACUAGAGAGUAGAGACUAUUGCCUUGCAAACACGGUAACUUUGUGGUCACAUGUUUCAUUCCUGAUGGGUUAUAUGAAUAUCAUGACAAUUAUUGAUGCAUUGUGUUGAUUUGCAAAAACAUUGUUUUUUCUCUUUUGUACAAGAUGAGAGAAAACUCAACAUUUCUUUCUCUUUCCAUUUCUAUUUUUAAAGGGGGGGGGGGGGGGGGGGGGGGGGGGGUUAAAAUGCAUCUCAGAUCAUAAGAUCCUUCCUAAAAUGCAAAUACAUAACUCAUAAUAAAGAUUAAAAUUCAAUACAUAACACUCAACUCAAAAUAGGUUCAUAAGUCAUAACAUAACUCAUAGUAAGUUCAUAUUACUUAAUACAUGCACACUAAACUAGGAGAUCAUUCAAAUUAAAAUCAGGAAAGUCAUCUGUCAUCCUCCAGAUGAUCUUCGUCCUCUUUAAUGGCAUUUCCUCUACCUUCAUCAUCAUCAUCAACAAUUGGAGGAACCUCCAAAUCAUCUACUGGUGCACCACCACCUACUAGCUUCUUCUCCUGCUUCAACUAAGAUAGCUUCAUCUAAAGCAUCCAAUUCUAAAUUUGCUUCGUUCUCCACCACAACCCAUUCUUCAUCAGAAGCUUUGGGGGAAAGUUUCAAAAGAAUUUAUAUGAUACAUUGGUAAAAUAUGCAUUCUUAGCUAGUUUCGUAUUACACUACAAAUUGAUCAUUUUAUCAAACCUAAUACCAUCUCUAACAUGAUCAUACAAGAUCACUCACUGGUUUUAUUCUCGGAAUUCUGUAAACAAUAAAUUAAAUUGUCUGCCUUCAUUUUCCUGUGUGAAUAUACUUAACGGAUGUCUUUGGCUGUCUUAGUUAGCUAAUAGCUAAAUGUUUAUGCAGCUGUGAUUGGAAUGAGAGACGUUCAAUGCUUUCAUAUCCAGACUAUUGUAGGAAGACUUAUGGAGCAAAUGAGAGCAUUUGGAACCUUUCUGAUUGUCAUGUACUUGGUUGCAAGCUCCAUUCCGGUGUGAGCAAUUCUUCAAGGAAAAUACUAUUUCAACUUCAUGAAAUUUUUAAGGCACUACCUGGUGUAGGAAAGCGGCAGACAUUUAAUAGUUCCAAGAUAAUACCUAUGGAUAACAUUUGCAGAUCAGGCAUUUGGGAGUUAUCUGAUGAUAUUUUAACUAAGAUUUUAGCUUCCCUGGGCCCAAUGGACCUCACUAGGGUUUCUGCAACAUGUCAUCAUUUAAGAUCCUUGGCUGCUUCGGUAAUGCCUUAUACCAAGUUAAAUCUGUUUCCUCAUCAGAGGACAGCAGUUGAGUGGAUGUUGCAUCGUGAGCGAAAUGCUGAGCUUUUGCCACAUCCGUUAUUUGUAGCUCUCUCAACUGAAGAUGGCUUUAGUUUCCAUGUAAAUACUGUAACUGGUGAUAUUGUUACUGGGGAAGCUCCCACCGUCAAGGAUUUUCGUGGAGGAAUGUUUUGUGACGAGCCUGGCUUGGGUAAGACUGUAACAGCUCUCUCUCUUAUUAUGAAGACGCGAGGUACAUUGGCAGACCCGCCAGAUGGGGCACAAGUAGUCUGGUGUCAACAUAAUGGUAAUCAGAAAUGUGGAUAUUACGAGGUCAGUGUUAGUGGUAAUCACAUCACUGGUUGUACUACCUUGGGUAAGAGGGAUGUGUGCCAAGAUACCAGCAGAACUAAUGAUAACCAUGAUUACUCCUCCAAAAGAGCCAGAUUGAUAGAUCCUGAUCAGCAAAUAACUAAACUUCAUGAUUCAUGUUCCAGGGAAGAAAACAAAUCACCUGUUGAUGCAUGUUUCAAGGAAUCUAUGCAUUCAAAUCAGUUCACUGGGAGUUUGAGUCGCAUAAAGAAAAAUCUACAUUUCACAUUUGAAGAUGAAGCUAUGAUUUCCAAGGAAAGAGAAAUUGGUGAAGGAUUAAUUAAAGCAAAGCAUGCAUUAGAUGUUACAUCUCAUGUAUCUCAAAACAAGUCGCCUGGGAAGCCUAAAGGUGACUGUUUUGAGUACAAUGAUACAUGGAUUCAGUGUGAUGCUUGUCACAAGUGGCGAAAGCUUGUAGACAAUAGUAUGGCUAAUUCUAGUGCAGCAUGGUUUUGUAGUAUGAACACUGACCCUCUGUAUCAAAGUUGUAGUGUCCCUGAACAACAUUUUCAUAAUAUCUGUAAGAUAACACACUUGCCAGGGUUUCAUUUGAAAGGAACUUGUGGAGGUGAGAAACAAAAUGUUUCUUUUUUCACUAGCGUGCUUAAGGAGCACUACUCCUUGAUAAAUUCUCAGACAAAGAAGGCCCUGACGUGGUUGGCUAAAAUUUCAACAGACAAGCUUGCAGGAAUGGAAACAAAUGGCAUCAGGGGUCCUAUUUUAAACAUUUGUACUGCAUCUAAUAGACAUUUCCACAAAAUAUUUCAAGCAUUUGGCCUCUUAAAGAGAGUAGAGAAAGGUGUUUGCAAGUGGUACUACCCUCAACAUCUUAACAAUUUGACUUUUGAUGUGGCUGCCCUUGGCAUGGCUCUCCGUGAACCAUUAGAUUUUGUUAGGUUAUACUUGUCAAGAGCUACCCUGGUAGUUGUUCCAGCAAACUUGGUUGAUCAUUGGAAAACGCAAAUAGAAAAGCAUGUGAGGCCUGGUCAAUUGCGGGUUUAUGUUUGGACUGAUCAUCAAAAGCCAUCUGUGCAUUGUCUUGCAUGGGAUUAUGAUGUUGUCAUAACUACUUUUAGUCGUUUGAGUGCAGAGUGGGGCCCACGUAAGAGGAGUGCUUUGAUUCAAGUGCAUUGGUUUAGGAUAAUUUUAGAUGAAGGGCACACUCUUGGGUCAAGCCUGAACUUAACAAACAAGUUGCAAAUGGCUAUUUCAUUGAUAGCUUCAAAUCGAUGGAUACUAACAGGAACUCCAACGCCUAACACUCCUAACAGCCAACUUCCUCAUCUACAACCAUUGCUAAGGUUCCUUCAUGAAGAAUCUUAUGGACUGAAUCAAAAGUCAUGGGAAGCUGGUGUGCUUAGGCCAUUUGAAGCAGAGAUGGAGGAAGGGAGGUCUCGUCUGUUACAUUUACUUCAAAAAUGCAUGAUUAGUGCUAGAAAGAUAGAUUUACAAAGCAUUCCACCAUGCACGAAGAAAGUUGUUUAUCUAGAUUUUAAUGAGGAGCAUGCUAGGAGUUACAAUGAAUUGGUAAUCACUGUACGACGUAAUAUAUUGAUGGCUGAUUGGAAUGAUCCUUCACAUAUUGAGAGUCUACUGAAUCCAAAACAGUGGAAAUUUCGUAGUGCAACUUUAAAAAAUGUGAGGCUUUCAUGCUGUGUUGCUGGACAUAUUAAAGUUACACAUGCUGGAGAAGAUAUUCAAGAAACAAUGGAUAUGUUAGUACAAAGUGGUCUGGACCCUACUUCAGGAGAGUAUACCUCCGUAAGAUAUAAUCUCUUGUAUGGUGGUCACUGUGUCAGGUAGUACCUAGGUUUUAUUCUUUCUUGUGGCUUUAUUUUUCUUCUGGUUGUUGCUGUUUAUUAAUUUUUUUCUUAAUAAAUUGUGAAGGUGCAAGGAAUGGUGUCGCCUUCCACUCAUUACCCCAUGUCGGCAUCUGUUGUGCCUUGAUUGUGUUUCUAUAGACAAUACCAAGUGUACUUAUCCUGGCUGCAGUAAAUUGUAUGAGAUGCAGAGUAGAGAGGCCCGACCUGAAAAUCCUAAACCGAAGUGGCCUGUACCCAAAGAUCUUAUUGAGCUACAACCUUCAUAUAAGCAGGCAUGGUUAAUGGAGAACUCAGUUAACAUUCAUCUUUUUUUCCCUCUUUCUGGUUUGCAAUGCUAACAUGCAAUGUUGAUUAUUUAAUACCCAGGAUAAUUGGGAUCCUGAUUGGCAAUCUACAUCUAGUAGUAAAGUCUCCUAUCUCGUCCAGAGGUUGAAAGCUUUGCGAGGAACCAAUGAAGAGACAUACUUCAAUACAGAAAAUAGCAAUGAUGAUUUGCAUAUUGAGAAUAGUUUGCAUAGAAGUGAUGACAAAUCAUCAAUUCAGACAUGUUCUAUGAGCAGCACUAAGACCAAUUUGAACCCUGAGAAAGUUCUGAUAUUUUCUCAAUUUCUUGAGCAUAUACAUGCCAUUGAACAGCAGGUACAGUUUUAUGCCGCAUUUUGUGUGUGAUCUUUCAUGAAUUGUUCUAUUUUAUUUUUUGGCAUCUGUGAAUUCUUUUGCAAAUGAUCAAACUAUUAAAUUGGAUUUCUCUUUGGCAGUUGACUAUUGCUGGUAUCAAAUAUACUGGAAUGUAUAGCCCAAUGCAUUCCAGCAACAAGGUAUAAUGCUGGAAUUUUCUUUUACUGUUUCUUAAAAUUAAAAUUUACUUUUGGUUUCUGACCGUUGGUUAAUUUGCCUUUUCCUUUUCCAGAAGAAGUCAUUAGCCAUGUUCCAGCAUGAUUCAAAUUGUAUGGCACUUCUGAUGGAUGGAAGUGCUGCAUUGGGUCUUGACUUGAGUUUUGUUACGCAUGUAUUUCUAAUGGAGCCAAUUUGGGACCGAAGGUUAAUAUAUCAAACUAAUAUAAUUUGCAAACAAGAAUAUAAAAUUAAUUUUUUAUUGCUUUUAAGACUGAGGGAUAAAAUGAUUUUGAGAAAUUUUAAAAUUCUACAUUAUUUAAUUUUCUUCUCAAGUUGAGCAUAGUAAAAUUUUCUGUGAACUUUCUGUGUGGCUAAUAUGCAUUGUCAAUACUGAACUUUUCUGUUUUGGGAUUUAGCAUGCAAACUGGAACCAUGCUGCAUAAAGUGACUGGCAGUGUAUCUCUUGGUUUCCCAAUUUGCUGGAUCCUUCUACUUCAACCGAAAUUGGCAUGUUUAUCCAGUUUAAUUAUUUUCUAACUUGACCAAAAUGUUUUCAGUAUGGAGGAGCAAGUAAUUAGUCGUGCUCAUCGUAUGGGUGCUUCUCGUCCUAUUUAUGUGGAAACAUUAGCAAUGCGUGGUACAAUUGAAGAGCAAAUGCUAGACUUUUUACAGGUAAAUCUCUAUAAAUUGAACUAUCUUACACCUAUUUGAGUGUACUACUAACAAUGAUGGGUCUCUUUGAAGGCCUUGUUAGUUUAUGUUGUCGUUCAUGUAUGUCACUGAAAAUUGUCUCCUCAAUGUCUUUUGUUUUGUUUAGCUUUUAUAUUGUUGUUGUUGUUCAUCUUUCAAUUUGUUGAUGGUUUAAGCAGGAUGCUGAUAACUUUAGAAGAUCACCAAUUAAGGAUGCUACCGAAUCUGUUGAUGAUAGUGGGGGACGAGGAUAUAGAUCAUUGCAUGAUUUUGCUGAGAGUAGUUAUCUACUGAAACUUAGAUCUGUGUAUACUAAUUUGGAAAGUCCAAAAGGUUUGUACAUACAGUUUUUCCUUAACUGUUUUUUGUUAGCAAACAUAGAUUCAACAGAAAGAUGAGUGAUAUUGCAUUUGAGAAAUUGAAUGCGAGUAGUUUUUAUGACUUCUAUUCCUUAACUGUUUAUUUGAAAUUUUUGCCUGAAACAAAAAGUAAAAAGGUUAUGGUUAUGUUUUCGCCUAAACUGACUAAUAAGAUGCUUUAAAGUUUAUAAGCCACCAGCUAAAAGUUUAUAAGCUUGCAUAUUAAAUUAUAAGUGUUUUGUAAAAUUAUUGGAAUAGUUGGUAAAUGUAAAAUAACAUAAACAUAUUGUAUAACUGUUUUAUGUGAAUUCUAUUUUUGUUUUGUAGUCAAAAACAUUUAAUUAAAAGCUAAUUAAAUAGUUCUGUUAAAGUAAAUACUAAAAUAUUAUAUGAAAUAAAUAACCCAAAAAUUAAUAAAAAGAGAAAAGUAAUUAAAAAAUAGUUACAUAUGAACAAUGUUGAAGAACAGAUCGAGGGUAAAGGUAUAUUAAAAUAGUAAGGAUAUAAAGGAAGGAAAAAAUAAACUACAUGCUUAUAAAUUAUAAGCUACCUGAAGUAGCUAUAAGUUAGUGAAAUAUACUUGUUUACCAAAUACCUUAAUUUGGUCAAACAAAGCUUACAAUGUAGUCAACUAAGUUACAAGUUUGCUUAUUGGACAUGCCAAACACACUAGAUGUUUGGAAGUGAUAAAGCUGUUGAAAUCCUACUAUGAUUUUCUUUUCGAGUGAAAGAAUCAAGUGAUACUUGCAUUGCUCAAAAGUCACAAGUUAUUGUCAAUUCACUUGGUGAAUUUUGGUUAAAUGAAAUAUUGUACUCCCUUCGUCCCUAAAUAUUAGACUCUUUUAAAUGAUUCACACCCUUUAAGAAAGUUAGUUAAUAUAUUUAAUAGUAUUAAAAUUGUUAACAAUUUGUUUUAUUUUGCCAAAGUUACCCUUAAAAUUAUUGGGACUCAUAUCUUUCCUUUCACUUAAUUACUUCCCCACUUAAUUAAUUAAUGUGUGUUAAUCUUAUCUAAUCCUUAUAAGAGAAAUAAUGAUUUAUCUUUUUAGUACAUAACAUUUAUUGUAAAGUAAUUAAGAGUAUUUGGAUCAAAAUAUAAUUAAUGCAAAAGACAACUUGAAACAAACAUAAUUGAAAAAAGACUCUUAUAUUUAGGGACGAAGGAAGUAUGUCCGAGCACUUUAAGCCUGUUGAAACUGAUGGCAUGCUCUGACCCCUCUGAAUAGGACACCCUCUCCUCUCAACUUUCCCUUACCAAAUUGUAUGUUUUUUGAAAAUGAAUUUAGGAUAUGCACUUGCACUUGAAUGAAUUCUUUUACUUUUCUUUAUUAACUUGUUAAUUUAUUUAUUUUUUUAGAAUAUAAUUAGAAUGUAUUGAGUUACACUGUCUUCCAAUAUGAAUAGUCAUAUAGGUGAAAGUUGUUGACUUUUAAAAGUCUAUCUAGAAUGAUUUCUAAUUAGUUGAUAAUGUAAAAAUCUUUAUACUAUCACUAUCUUAAUUAAACUCUUGUGAUAAUGACUUUUUUAUCCGUUUUUACUUCAGGUGUUUGAUUGAUCAACAUCAAGCAAGUACUGACUAAUUUACUUGGAGCAAGUCCUGUGUACAUUUUGCAAGUUUGCAUGCUCUUGAAUAUGGUUUUACUUUUUGAGUAUAUAGUCUUACAAGUGCUCAUCUAAUGAAAGAUGCUUCCAUAUGCAUUGGAGAGUGGAAACUAUUCUUUUUGUGCAGAUUAUGGAGCUAUUUGCAGCGUCGCUUCUGUUUGCCAGUGAUUAAUGAAAUACCGGAAGUGUCCCUGCUUAUUCUUAUGUAAAGGAUUUAGUCUAGUUGAUUUGAUGUGAUCUAGUAGGCAAUUUGGAGUCAAGUAUUCGAAUUGAAAUAAAAUGUUGAGUUAUUGGAAAACAAGUGUUCUCCCACACCCUUUCUCUUAACAGUAGGUAAUAUUGAAAAAUCAUAAUAACCCUUGCCCCCUAAAAUUGGUGAUAUCAUGUAUGUUCUUAUGACUAUCGAUUUCAUUAUAUGCAGCUAAUAUUGUAAUUAUUAGCAAUGAUCCCAGUGCUUAUUAGUCAACAGAAAUUUCAAGAUAUAUUAGCAAUUUGAGGGAGAAAAGGUUUCUGUUCAAUUUAUUCUCAUGUUAGCCUGGGUUUUUAAUUGAUUAUUAUGCUUUGUAGGUUUGUUCAUUUAGUCAUUUGAUUUUGUUGGUCAUUCGGAACGACCACCUGGAUAGUGUAGAAGUUCAAUUAGUUAUACAAUAGGAUAUAAUAUAUAUGGAUGGAGAGAUAAUGAUAAAGAUAGAUGGAUGAAUGGAUAGAGGUAAAGACAGAUGGAUAAUCUUGGAUUAAAUUUAAUUUUGGUUACGUAUGAGUAGAAACUCCCAAAUUCUAUAAUUGUAUUCACUCACAAGUUCUACUCCCAAAUUCAAUAUUCACUCACAAGACACAAGUUGAUUAUUAUGGGACAACAUAAGGGGAUAGGAUUACCUCCUAGGGGAGGAAAGAAAUUAAAAGUUAAUUUUCAAAAUAGUAACCAACCUCCCCGUAUCAAUGUGUUUUUUCACGUUAAAAAGGAAAAAUAAAUAUCACCAAUCAUGCUAUAGGCCUCAAUUUAGCCCAAAAUAUGCAGACAAGUCUAAAAUCCAUAAUUAACUAAUAAAAAUGGUCCUAAUGUAUUCCAAGCUUGAAAUCAAGAAUCGACCAAUCAAAAUAUUCUUAAAUAAUUACAGGUUCAAUUUAGGACUUAAUGACAAUACAAAAUCCAUACUUAAGCUCAAAAUAUUUGAUUUAAUCUUUCAAUCAAGUCCAUAACGACUCAUGGAUAGCUAACACCAAAUUGGAUGAAUUUCGACAAUUAGGUUUUUCAUAACUUCUCUAACUCUCUUGACGCUUUUGUCAUUAGAUACAAACCACAAAUGGUUCAAUUGUAAUUUGUCUUUGGUAUAUUGAUAGGUUCAAUAUUAUUUUUUUCCGUUCUUUCACUCCAAAGAUUGAAGGAAAAAGAAACUUUAUGUUAAAAAAAUGUAACUUAAAAUUAUAUUUUCUUUUCAUCCUUUGGUCUCUUCUGCUUCUAAUAUUAUCCAGAAAUAAUGAAUUGAGUUCAUAUAAACAUUUUGGAUGCUGCCAUUGAAAUAGUGGUUCUUGCUAUAUUUCACAGGGCCUCACCCAUUUUAUAAAGUAUUUUUUUCCAUGUUUAAUGAUAGUUAAAAAAUAUUCGAUAGUAGUAGUAGUAGUAAAUUUGCUAUAAUUUUGACAAAAAAAUGAGUAUUUUAUUAAACUCACUACAAAUUUCAUAGAAAAAUUUAUUUUUUUCUGCACAAUUUCUUACAAAAUUUGUUUUGUAUUAUAAACUUACAUAUUUUUUCUCAAAAAAAUUACAAUAAAUUUUCCAUUUUUUAAAAUCAGUACCUUAUAAUUUAUUUUUUUAAAAAAAUACCUUUAAGAGUGCUACUAAAUUUCCUUAAAUUCACUAAGAAAUCAUAAAAAAAAUAGUUUUUUCUGCAAAGUUUUUUUUACGAAAUUUUUUUUGUAUAAAAAAAAUUCUUUUAGAUUUUCCAAAAAAAAAUUACAAAUAAAUUUUCCAUUUUUUAUAUAUUCGGUACCAAAUAAAUUGUAAGAAAAACCUUAGGAGUGCUAUGAAAAUAAAGUAAGGAAAAUAUAUUUUAAUAUUAUAAAAGUCAAUUAAUUAAAAAAAUAGUUAAUAUUUGAAUAGUAUCGCUAAAUGCUUAAAAUUAACUAUAACAAAUGAUAUUAUAUAAAUCAUUAUUUUAAUUUGUAGAUUAUAGAUUAUUUUAGCCGUUUCAAUUUGGUUUUUCUCUGCCACUUCCAAAUAUAAUUGAAUUUUCAAAAGUAUAAUUUACUUAUAUAUAUUUUUAUUUGAAUAAAUUUUGGAAGAAGAGAGCUAGGUUAAGAUUAAUGUCUGUCCUUACUUAAAUCCUUUCUAAAAAAGGAACAAUUUAUGAGUGAAAAUUAAUAAGCUUAAACAUUUUAGUCUCAAGAUUGUCUCUAAAUAAAAAUAAAGCAUUUCUAAUUUAAUUGAAUGCAUGUACAUAAGUGAAAGCUACCACACGUAGUUUUGGAUUACAAGGUGUUUAUAGUCCGACAGUUUCUAUGUGAUACAUAAUUGAGUUUUUCAAUUUACUAAAAAAAUUAAUAAUAUUCCCUUAUGUGUCAUAUUAACAUAGAUUGAAAUCAUAGUGGUCCCUAAUCAUAUGCAGAUAAGGCCUCUUGAUGCCAAGACCUUUAAGUAGCUGCCUAUCAUUUUGGAAGCAUGUGUAGUAGGAGGUAUUUCUUAGAAUUUGACAUCGAUGUUUUAAGAGAAUCAGAUGAGUCAUCAAACUGAUAAAGAUAAUGGAUUAAUAGGUCACUAAUCAGAUCAAAAUUUCAUUAAUCAAACUGGUUUAACUUGAUAUAUAUUAAAAAAAUUAUAAAAAAUAUAAUUAAUUAAUUUUAUUUAAUCAUUCAAUACUCUAAAUUUAAAAUGAUUGUCGUUAUAAAAUACCUAAUAUAUCAAAUAGUCAUCAAUAUUCAUGUCAAUGCAACUUUAUAAAUAAGUUUCAAAUACAAACAAACAUUCAAUGUGUUAAAAAUAAAAUUAAGUUUACAAAAAAUUUAUAUAUAUAUAUAUAUAUAUAUAUAUAUAUAUAUAAAAUAACACUUGAUUCAAUCAAAGACUCAAUGGAUUUAACCUGGACUACACCAAUUCUAAUAUAUUUACGAUCCCGACCGGUGUGUUUAUUGGAUUCCGAUUGAAUUCUGUCCAAUCCGAUUCUUAAAGCAAUGCGUGACAUGCGUCCAAGUUAACCUAUUUUGGUCGAUGGUGGAGGGGAGCGAAUCUUCCGCUCAAUAAUGCAUUUACUUGACCAAUAGUGUUAGUAAUGCAUGCUUGAUUUCUUUAUGCAAGAUUUUGAUUCUGGGCUUUGUGUAUAACAAUAAUUUCUAAUAGAACAUUUAAUCCCAUUAUAUUCUGAAAUUUACACAAAAGCUGAGUUCUAAGAUGGGUUCUGCAAUUCACAUACAUUGUUGCUGAAAUCCAGCAUCAGUACUUCAAAUUCCACUUGUCAUGCUUGAUUACGACGAACGAAUGCCGACACUACGCUGGCUUUGGACCAUAAAUUUAAGUAAAUAAUUAAAACCAGCGUUUUUAAGUUACACACUCAUCAUAUAAUGUGGUCUUUAACAUCUUGAUUGUGACACUACACAUGCUAUAAUUUGCAUGUAUAGUGAUGCAAUUUGACCGUAGAAGUAAUUUUAACGUUACUAUUAAAUCCUUUUUUCAACUUGCCAAGGCUUGUGGGGUUGUCGCAUUUAAUAUAAACAUGUCUUGAAGUUUCUCACAAGAUAAGGAGUGUCCCCUCUCAUUGAAAUUUAUAUCGAACUUUUGACUUUUCAAUAGAAAAGCAUGAAAUUUAUUGAAUUUGAAAUUUAAAAAAUGUUUUUUUUAACCGAGAGACAUUGAAAUAUUUUAUUUGUCACUCAACUAAUUUUCUUUUAUCAUAUGGUCCCAUUUUAAGAUAAAAUAAUAUCUUUAAUUAUAACUUAAUUCUCAAGUUAGAGAUCAAACAUUAUACCUUAAUUAGUUAAAAAUCCAACUGUGUGAAAUCACUUCUAUCAACAACGAAUUUUGGCCCAUCUUGUGCUAACAACUAAGUUGUUAUUAAUUACUAUACAGAUUGCGUCUAGGUUCUUCAUUUACAAUACCAUGGGACCUAGGAGUCUCAAUCCCUUUUGAAUAAUCCACACCAAACUUUGGCAUAUAAUACAAUGACAAAGCAAGUCAUUAAUGACCUAGAUUGAGACCUAGCACCUACACCGAGCCCUUACUAGUAUAAAAACCGAACACUAAGUGUGAGUUAUGCACACCAACACCAAAACAAACCCACUAAGAUGGCUUCCUUUGUAUCCUUCCUAGUGCUGCUUCUUGCAGCCCUUAUCCUCAUGCCUCAAGGGCUUGCUACUUACUACAAACCAAUUAAGAAGCCACCAGUGUACAAGCCUCCAGUGUACAAGCCACCAGUGUACAAACCACCGGUUUAUAAGCCAAAACCACCGGUUUACAAGCCGAAACCACCGGUUUACAAGCCACCAUAUAAGAAGCCACCAUACAAGAAACCACCUUAUGGAAAGUACCCUCCAGUAGAGGACAACACCCAUGCCUAAAGCAAGCAAUGAGGUCUAUUAUCUACUUAAUAAAUAAGAGGAACUGCUUUGUGUUUUCUAGCAUUGUGACUUACAACUUCGUAGCAAUGCAUAUUCUUGACUCUUGCAUGCACUUCAAUCCUUCGUAGCAUUAAUGAUGUGGCCAAGUCAUCAUGAGCAUCAUACUUAUUUCUUUGUGAAUGUAAAUCAAAAUUAUAAGAGAGAAAAUGGUGCUUUUGUACUACAGAUUACUAUAAAUAAAAAACUUUUAUGGUUUUCAGAUUGUGCUGGUUGAUUGAUUUGCUCUACCAUUAAUUAUGACGAAACGUAGUUUUUUUUUUUCUCUUUUUUAAUCCGUAAAAAUAAAAAAAAUAAAAAAAUAAAUUUAUAAUAAUUCACACUUUAUUUAAUUAAUCGAAAUAAAUUCCAUAAUAGAUGAUACAUAGUUUGACAUACUAUUGUUAAGCUUAAGAUUAAAGAUCGACCCUAUGUUGCAACUAAACUUUCUACAAUCAAUUUUAUAAAUUGGAUUGGUGCAUGUAAGUCUAGCUAGCUAGAGGCAGAAGAACAGUACUAGAGUAGUAGAUGGAAGCCACUCUCCACGCACCUCAAAUAACUCGCAAUUAAACUUGAGCAUAACAUCAAUAGCGACUUAAGUUAAUUUCAAUUAUGGGCUCUAUUUGAACAAAUUUCUCUAUAAAUAUUUCCAGAAGAAAAUAUUAAGAAAACAAUAAAUUGAACUUCUCAUUUAAGUUAAAAUAAACAUAUUUGUAUAUUUUUUAUAUAAAAACUCUCAUUUAACUUCUCUUAAAAAUAUUGAAGUAUAUAAAUUAAUUUUAGCUUAUGAAAAAAAAAAUCAACUUAUUUUAAUUUUCUAUUCUUAAAAAGCCAUAGUUAUAGUUAAUGUGUACAAAGACCAGUUCCUACGAGAGUUGCUGUAUCCUCCUAAACCAAAUAUCCGAAUACUCCUACUCAGUAAGAAUAUUUUGAUAUCUGUUAAUAAUUUUAUAAUAAAUUAUUUAUUUAAUUUGACAUUUUAAUAUUUAAUUUCUUUCCAAGUUUACCCCUUUUCCAUAUGACCAGUCAACUUAUCCUCUUCAUUCGACUUUAAAAAGAGUGGGUGGUGGUGCGGUGAAGCUGAAAACCACACACAAUGAUGGUGGUGGAGAAUGUGAAAAUGGUUGUGGUCGGAGAAGGAGGUACAAGGGACAAAGUUAACUGAGGAAAAAAAAAACUCAGCGUGAGAGAGGGUCUUUUGAAAAAAAGGACAAAUUUGGAAAGGAGAAAAAAAGUUAAAAAGUGUGUUAACAAGUGUGAAUGCUUAGGUGAUUCAGUUACUUUUUCGCCACAUAUGAUCGGAGGAAUAAACAUUUCUCUUUUUCAUAUUACUAUUUUUGUAUGUUUGUCUACACGUACAUGUGGACGGUUAUUUGUAUCAAGUAUCAACUACAUAUGGGUGUCAAAAUUUAAAACUGAACCGAAUUUAAUGAAUUGAUUCAACAACUCUAAUAUAUAUGUGAUGUGAUUUGAAUUUUAAUAAUUUGCGUACGAUUUUAAUUUAAUUUUGAACCUACUUCAGUACAAAAAUUUACGUAUAAUCUUACUACAAGUACUUAAGUCACCACAAUCAUCUACACUCACAUCUUGAAAAAGUGACAUUGAUAGCAAAUUCAUGAAGUACUCACAGCUAACGUCAUUUGAUGGUUGAAUGAACCCCUCAGCUACCCAUAGCUGAAUGAGUGUUCUCUUAUCAAACUCAAAACCUUUUGGAAACAAUGAACAAUAAGCAAAACAGUUUUCCAAAAAUGAAGGAAGAUGGUCAAAACUCAGUUUAAGGAUUGCAAAGAUUUUGUCCUUCUCUUGAUCUAUCUUUGAAAACCCAACUUCCUUAGAGGCUAUUACUAUGCGCACCCAGCAUAAUUACUGGUACAUCCAGCAUAACAGCAUAAUUCCCGUUUUGUCCUUUCCUAAAAUUGAUACAAAUUGUCAAUUCAUAUAAGAUUUACGGAUUGUCCAAUCUGUAAGUAGCCCAAAUAUUUUUUUAAUUUUUUUUUUAAAAAAAUAUGUUUUAUGAAUUAAUUUAAAAUUAAUGAUUCAUGCAAGAAUCAAACUUAUAACUUUCACGUUAUUAACACGACAUUCUAACCAAUCUCAAUAUUCUUGUCAACCCUUUUAAGUUAUUUUCUUUAUGUUAGUUUUUAACCGAUGUUGAAAGUGCCGAUGUUGAAUGUAUUAUCGUUAACAUCGGUUUUAAAAAAACUGAUGUUAACGUUAAUUUUACAACAUCGUUUAUUUAAAUAACCAAUGUUGAUAAUAAGAAUUACACCCAAAAAAAUGUAUUAAUGUUGAUAGUUAACAUCGGUUUUUUGGAAAAAUCGAUGUUAACGUAACUUAACAUCGGUUUUUUUAUAUAAAAUUGAUGUUAACGUAUGUGUUAAUGUUGACAGUUAACAUCGGUUUUUUGGAAAAACCAAUGUUAACGUAACUUAACAUCGGUUUUUUUACAGAAAACCGAUGUUAACGUAUGUGUUAAUGUUGACAGUUAACAUCGAUUUUCUGUAAAAAAAAAGAAAACCGAUUUUAACGUACGUUAACAUCAGUUUUUUCCAAAAACCCGAUGUUAACGUAUGUGUUAAUGUUGACAAUUAACAUCGGUUUUUCCAAAUAAUCGAUGUUGUUUUCAGGAUUUUUUUUUAAAUAUUCUCUCUGUUUUUACAAAAAAAACCAAAAUUUAACCUGUAAAUUUAAAAUUAGACCACACAGCAUAUAUGAUUUGCAUUUUGCUUUCAAAUAGGUUUUAGCAGAAAACUAGCUAGUAAACUAUUAAAAUGAAACAUCAAUUGUAAAAAAUGUAAUGCAAAGUACGGUAAACUAAUUAAGUAACCUAAAGUUACAUAGUUCCCUAACAUCCUAUGUUUGAUUUCUAACUUUUAGAUAAUAUUGUGCCCACUGCAUGUGAAGCGCCUUGAAUCUCUCUGCUUCCAAUGAUCUAACAUCAUUAAAAUACUGGAUGAUCAAAUAAAAGAUAAAUUAAUGAUGUAAUAACAAUGAUAAGAAAAUCAACUUUGUUUGAAAUAAACAAUUACCGUUUCUCAAUUAUUCCUGAAAGUUCCUGAGAUUAUCGUGGACAUCUAGUGCAUGACGUAAUAGCUGUACUCAGUGUUUCGUUUUUGUCUAUUACACUAAAUACAUAAUGAAAUUUGGAUAUUAAUUAAGCGUUAACUACAAUUAGUGUACACACACAUAAGCAGUAUAUAUAAUUAGAAGUUUAAUUUAAAUCACGUACCUUAACAACAAUCCACCUAGCCGCAGCCUUGGAUUUAGGUUGUGGAGUAUCAUCAAGUCCUUUCAAAGCACUAUUGAAUACGAGGAACAUUAAAAUAUUGAUGUUGUUGAGUUAUGCUAAUGCAAAUAUAUUGAAAACAACAUUGACCUGUUAAUUAUUCCCUUAAGGUAGUUGUCUGGCCUGUUAUGUAAAGAACAAAACCAGACAACUAGGUUUUCCUUAGGCAAAAUGACGACCAUUUGCCAGUGUCCGCUGCAGUGGAGACGAAUAUGGGCUAUUGUAAUAGUAUAGAUUAUUUAAAUUCAGUUGUUGUGUUUGACUUACCAAUUCAGGUAAGCUCCAAGGUAAACAUCGCGUUUUGAACCCUGCAUCCAACUCUUGAUGUAACUUUUCGAUUCAAAUUGUGAUUGCCCAAAUCUCUGAAUGGACUGUGGCUCGAGAAAUCCAUACACAUCGGAAUUCCCCGCUCACAUACUUGUCUCAGUCAGAUGCCUGUGUUGUUAAGACAAAGUUAAUUAUGUAUGAAUUUAAAACAAUUACUUUGUUAAUUAACAGUAAUCUAAAUUGACUUACAAAAUUCACAACUGUAUAACAGAGAUGCUGAGACAUUGACCACCGUGUGCUAUUUCAUACAGAUCUUCAUGCUUUAUGUACAAGGGAAAGUCUGAAUUAAACAGCCCGAACAGGGAAGCAUCCCACAUAACCUUGAGAGGCUUCAAAAACAAUUGUGGGAUGGUCAAUGUCAUCAGAUGCAGAGGAUCAUCGACCUCACGAUCCGGGCUUUUUGGAGGUUUUGCUAGAGACACAACUGCCUGUUAAUCAAACAUAGUUAAUUAACAAGUUUUGAUUACAGUGAACAAAUCAAUUGAAAAAAAGAAACAUAUAAUCAGAGUAAAAUACCUGUUCUGAUAAACGUUUCACGAGAUGUAUCGGCCAAGCAAGGAAGGUGUUAAGUGUCUGCCCCACUAAGGUAACCUUGUCAAUGGGUACAGGAACGGGAGUCUCUGCAUCUUUAACCUCCUCAACACCAACCUUCACUUGGCCAUGCAACAAAGGGAUGUUAUGAACCACUGUGGAUCCCUCAUAAAGUCUUCCUAGGGCAACCAAGUAGGAAGGAUUUUCUUCAAUUUACAGCCCGCAUUUGUCUGAGUCAUCCGUCUCUGGAUCGUUCCCUGAGGAAUCAACACAACUCUUCUUUGUGCUGACACGAGCACUUGAGGGACCAACCUUUGGCUCCGGAGGCAGUGUAAAUCCCUGUGAUUGCAUCUGAGACUGAAACUGGGACUGCAUUUGGCUGAAGGAUGCCAUCACCUGCUGAGUAACUUUUUCUGUGAUCGACUCCUCCAGCUAGUCCCUGAUUUGUUGGGUUAACUGUUGUAGGUCUUCAGGAGGCAUAGAGGAAGAACUACGGGACAUUCGUGUAGCCAAUCCGAAAUAUUGCUUUAUGGUCACAUCAGCUCCAGCAGCACGGACACGGCCAGGGUGCUCUGAUCGCCCAAUGACAACAGUCAGGACAUCCUGACGUCUAUGGGGGACGAACGAUCCCUGUGACGCCUGCUCCUCCAAAGAAUCCUGUACAUAACACAUAUAUCUGUCCAAGGCAUUCACAAAAUACACAAAGAUAAUUACAAUUCUUAAUUGAAAAUGACUUACAAUCUUCUCAGUUAUUUCCUUUGUUGCCUCAGACGUCAUCGGCCCAGUUUUCUUUGUGUAGACCAUUUUUCACUUCAUGUGGCGUCUGAUGGGAGAUGGAGGGUCAAUGACGCCCUCAGUGCUUUCGGAUUGGGCAGCUUCCUCCAGUCUUUUCUUUGUCUUCUCAGCCAUAAGCUUUUGUUCUAAAUAUUCAUAACCCCCACGAAACAACACGUGGGGGGCAGUGUUUUGCUUCUGGAUGACUUGUGUUUUUUUCCGCACAUCCUGCAAAAAUCGAACAUUAAUGAAAAUGAUUACUACAAUGAAUUAUAAGAAGUUAUUUUUUUUGUGGAAAACAACUAAAAUGACAAACUACAUACCUCCCACGAGGGGUCUCUGCGGGUCUGACAAAACUUGGCCCAUUUCUCCUUGCUAAUGUCGCAUUUUUCACAGACAGUGUCGUCCACACCGUCCUUGUCGGCUGCAAGUGCCCAUUUCCUGGUCAAGUCAGAUUUAAACUGCCUCCACGGCUUGUCGACAGUCUGAAGAAUUUUCUUCUUUGUCCUACUGUUAGAAGCUUCAGGGAUUUCAGAUGUUAAGAUCAAGUAGUUAACAUCGGUUUUGACAUCGGUUUUGAAAAAACCGAUGUUAACUAACUCGACUUAUUUACAAAAAUGUCAUCGUGCUUUUCUUAACAUUGGUUUUUUAAAAAAUCGAUGUUAAUCGUGCGAUGUUAAAUCUAUAUUUUGUAGUAGUGUUUAGGUAUCUCAUAAAUUAGUCAAUUUUAUUUUGAGUUCUUAAAUUUUUUUCUUUUUAUUUGAUCCUUGAUAUUUUAUUUUUGAGUUCAUGCCGUUAAAAAUUUUAAAAUGCAAUUUUUUACUACUAAAAAUAAUAACAAUGUAAAUUUAUUUAAAAUAUUAAAUUACCAUUUAUGGCAAUUCAAUUGGAAAAAAUGAAGUAGAUAUGAUCAAAUAAAACCUUACAGACAAGACGAAGUCUAAGGUGGUCAAGUGAGUUAGGUGAUUUCUGGUGGUCAAAUAAUUUUUUGCCAAUAGAUUUAUUAAUAAAAUAUUAAACCAUUCAGAUGAAAUCUUUUUGUCAGUUUUUAACAAUUAAAAUUAUUUCCUCCCUUGUCUGUCGUGCACCACCAUUGGCAACACGUCACUACCUUGCUUUACUUUCCACUCUUCUUCUUUCCCUCUAUUUCCCUUCGUACUUUGACACCUCCGUAACCUCACUGUCAUGUUGUUGAAUUCACAUCCUUGAUUUUAAUUAUGACAAACCAUUAGCAAAACAAAUUGAAAGGAUGAUGGGUUUAAGUGAUGGCUAACAUUUCUCCCAAGCGUUUUAGUGUUUAUUCCUUAAGAAGCAUAAGUGUUCUUUCAUUCUGAUGUACUUAGAAUGAUGCUUAGAAAGGUUCGAAGAAUUGUUGUGAGAGUUGAAAACUUAGAAGAAUCCUUAAAGCCCAUCAAAAUGAUGAAAUUUGCUUCCCUUUGAAUACUUAGUUCUUGGCAAGAUACUGAACAACCUUACAUAAAAGAUUCAUCAAAAGAUUCAUCAAAGGCUACCAGAAGAACAUCUUGGUUUAGAAUGAAGUUAUGCAGAGUCUACAUAGAAUGACAAACACCUUGACUCUGAGUUUCUAAACAUCAGAAUGAUUCAGAAAGACUCAUAAUGCAUCACUUAAACAAUAUUAGAAGAUUAAAGUUUCACAUUUCUUCACUUUGCAUAUGCCACCACAAUCACUGUAGGCACGUUAGAAAGUAAGAAUUGACUGCAUAAAAAGAUGUAAAAUUGUUGAAUGAUGAAGUUGUCCAUGAGAAGCAUUAAUGUAAACCAUCAGAUUGAAGGACUAAAGAAAACUACUCAGCCUGACCAUAGACAAAACACUAACACACCAACAACUCAAUUUCUACUAAGUCUUUCUAAAGUAAAUCAACUUAAGAAUGUUUCAAAGUUGUGAACAAGUGUUAAGAGUGAUGAAGUUGUACGACUUCGGAUUGAAAUUUCUAUCUAAACUUCGUCAAAGGAAUUCAUUAAGCAUGGACUCAUUCUUUACAAACAUCAUAAUGACUAUUGUGAUGGUUCUUCAGAAUCCGCAUAAAAAAAGUUCCUCAGAAUGGUAAUCUCCAAAUGGUUUUGUCUACUGUCACUUCAUGAUAGUUAUAAGGUGAACCUACUUGCUCCAGAAAUGUUUCAGUUGUGUGGAGCCCACUACAAUGAUUUUCUUGGGAGCUUUAUAAGGAAUUUUAGAAGGCUAUGAAGAACAAGUUGAAGCAUUCCAAAUUUGUAUCACAUUGUGCAAGUCCUUUGAGUAAGAAAUUUGUGUUUUAGCUUCAACCCUCUCUGUUAGAGUGACCCACUUUUGUAUUGUGCUUUCAAAGCUUGUAAUAACCUUAGAUAGAAAUGAGAGAUUAAGUUCUUGAGUGGAAUCCCUCAUGUGAGGUGAAAAUCUUUAGCAUGUGUCGUAAAACCAUAGAUAUUUUUUUUUUAUGUAAAGUCCAAUAGUGACUAGCAAAGGUGAAAUCCAGUGGUGCAGCUGGUCUAGUAGAAGAUUGAAGUCUAGUAAGGAAUUGACAAGGUUGUGAAACCCAAUGGUUGUUGGUCCAGUUGUGAAUUGGUUGUGUUACUGAAAUAACAUCUUUAAGGGUGAGGAUUGGACGUAGCCCAAGGUUGGGGUGAACCAGUAUAAAAACCUUUGUGCACUUUCUUCUCUUUCUCUAUAUUUUGUUCUUGCACAAAUCUAAAACUACUUUUGUAUAAAAUACUAAAUUUGUUAACUUUUUAUCUUAACAACUAAACUAAGUUUUGUUUUAUCAAGAGGUAUUAGUAAAGAACUAUCUUUAAAACAAAAGUCUUAAAACUGCAAAAGAACUAUUUUUUUGAAUGGUUUGCAUUUUCAUUCUGAGUUGCUUGAAUUUCCAUUCUAAGCUCAUAACAGUUUUUAUAUUCUGAACUACCAUAAAAAAAACCUUUUUGUUUUCAAAGGAAGAUUAAAAGUUUUCAAAACCCCAAUUAAACCCCCAUUUUUGGUAUUUUUCUCACUUCAAUUAGCAUCAAAGUUUAAAUGAGUUAUUCACGAGCCCUUAAUGUCAAGCUUUCAAAGCUUGAGUUUGACUCAUUUAAAUAAUCAAGCUUAAUCUCAAGCUUAAAUUUGUUUGUUUAAUUAAACAAAUGAACUUAAAUGAUUAAUUAACAAGUUGAACUUGAAUAGUUCACAAAUAGUUUGUCUUAUUCACAUCCCUAACUCUUCAUUUUUUUAUCCAUAGGAAUUGAAUAAGAUAUAAAAAAAUUUAGAACACUCAGACACCCUGCUUAAUCAACUAAGUUAGACACCUUUAGUCCCUAACUCUUCAUAUGGUUAUAAUCAUAUUCUAGUAACAAUAUGUUUCAUUUCACUACCUUACUAAAUUACAGGACUGACUUCAUUAUUUUGCAACACCCUUUACAUCACAUCAUUCAUUCAUAAAAUUUGCAUUAGUUAAAUAAAAUUAUUCAUCAUCAACAACUAUGUAAUGUAUACCACCAUGCAAUCAAAGGAUAAGCAAUUAAGAAAAUAUUUAAGCUUAUAUAAUCCAAGUAGCAUGAUUGCCUUAAUUGGUACAUAAUGCAAGGCAUAAAAACCAAAAAGUGGCAGUAUGUGUAAUAACAAAAUGAAACAAAGGAAGGAGAAAAAAUUAUUUGUGUGUUACAAAUAAAGAGGAGGAAGAAGGAAUAAUUUAAAAAUAACUCCAUAUAUUAUUUGUUCUAUUAUUUUAUCCAAUGAAUUGUGAAGAAAAUAGAUGCAUUAGUAACUAAUUAUCUAUAAAAUUAUAUGAAUUGGUCCAAUAUAUUAUUUAUUUAUUUUGUAAUUGAAGAAUUUUCUCAUGAUUAACUUAGAUGAAUAAUGAAUAAGUUAAUUAUUUUGUUGCUCCUAAUUUAACCUGGUGUGUCUAUAACUCAUGGUUCAGGUUGACCCAUUCUCUUAAUCUAACUUUGUUUGUUCAUUGAGUUGCUCUUUAAUAUGGGUGGGCUUAUUAUCAACAUGGCCAGUAAUAAUGGGAAUUGAAUCAUGCACUCUCAUAAGUGUAUCCUAGAUCCCACUAUUCCGUUUGAAAUUAUUUGAUUGCCUUUAAUCAAUUAGCACUAUCUUCCCCAACCCAUUCGCGAUGUCUCCCUCCUACGAAGGUUGCUCCCUUCCUCCUUCGUCUCAAACCUGCAUAUCCUCGUUCCCUUCCUUCUUCGUCAUUGAAGGCAAGCUUCUUCCUUUCUGGUGGGGUUGGGGUUGGGUUCUGGUAGGGAUGGGUUUUGGGGGUGGCUUCUGGUAGGGGUGGUUUCCGGUGUGGAUGGGGUCGCAUUUCAAAAUGCUCAUUCUGUAACCAAAAAAUGCUUUCGGAAUGAGCUUUCCAUAAGCAAAAAAAGCUUCAAUUUUUCAUAAGCCAAAAAAACAUUCAGAAUAGUUGUUCUGGAAGUACUUUAGCUUAAGCAACGACUAUUCCAUAAGCAAAUUUGUAAAUCCAAAACAUCCUGUCUAGAAGUGUAUUUUAUAUAUUUUGUAAGGGGGGUUCCAAAAAUUAGUAUUGGGCUUACAAAAAGCCCAUUAUGGAAGCAACAUCUGCAAUCCAAAGUAGCCUUUCCAAAAGUGUAUUUUGCAUCUUUCAAAAAGUACGAUUUUGGCUUAUGGAAUGACCAUUUCGAAAACAAAAUUGCAAUCCAUAAUAGUUUUUUGGGAGUACAUUUUGUACCUUCCAAAUGUUCAUUUGAGACAACAAUAUUUUUACUUACGAAAUAGGUGUUCCAUAAGAUUUUUCCUUCUGAAAUGGUCAUUCCAUAAGUGAAUUUAUCCCUUACGGAAAGCCUAUUUCGGAAACAAGUUUACAACAUGAACGUGAAUGCACGUUAAAAUGUACCUGCAAAGUGGAGAGUUAGAGAAGGAGAGGGACUUUUGCGGUGUUGAGUUGGACUUGCUUUGUACCUUCAAUGGUUGCGAGAAAAAGAGUUGGAGAAGAUAAGAAGAACUGGAAAAGGGGUUUAGACUUGCGCUAUAGGAAGAGAAGAACGAGAAUGGGCUGCAACUACGAGAGAAAGAAGGGAAACCGAGGAUGAGGAUAGAAAGGGUAGGUUGGGGUUUAUUAAAAAAUGGGAGAUGCAUGAUACAUUUAGGGAGGUGCAGAAUUCCAGUAAUGACCAACUCAAGUCCAAUUAAUGGUGACAUCAUAAGUUAAUGACUUAGUGUCACUUUUGAUCCAUUAUGUUUCGCAAUUAUUUUGUUUUAAUACAUUGAGUUUAAAAUGUUUCAUUCCAAUCCUUUAUGUUUUUGAAAUAUAUUGUUUUGACUCUUUUUCUAAUUUUCUAUUUGAAAUGUUAGUUUUUUGUUAAUAUUUAAAUUUCAAAAUAAUUAAUUUAUGACAGUGGUGAUUAAAAAUCGUCACAAUAUUUAAAUUAAUUAUCUUAUUAUAAAUAUAAUUAUUUAAACAUUAAUUGUAGCAAUUUUUAAUUCCAACAAAUUUCUUAUUAAAUUUUUAUAAAUGAUUCUUCAUCCUUGAAGAUUCAAUCUUCAUUCCACAAAUCAACAAAUGCAGUUUACAAAUAGCAAGAACAAUUUUUAUUUGCAAGAAACAUAGAGAUGUUCACUCAAUAAUGAUAUAAAACUUGUUCUUUUUUACACAACAAAACACAAUGAGCCCUUUUUUUUUUUAUCACAUAUGACGAAAGCAACAGCUCCAGGGUCAUUAAUUAGCUUUGCAAACGGGAUCUGAUAAUCACAACCGUGGUUGAUAAUCCUCCAAUGUAAUUUGUGUUUAUAAAUUUUAUUUUUUACUCCUUUAUAUACUAUUCAUUUUCUAAAAAAGAUUACUCAUGUAUGUAACUAAAGAUUAUAUUUUUUGUUUCUGUUUAAAAAAAUGUUUUCUUAUGUUAAUUUUUUUUCUUAAUCGAUGCUUUAAUGAUAUAAGUAAUUAACUAUUUGCUCCUGCAAUGUAGUUUAAGUGUUAUGCUACAUUGUUAGUUUUUAUAUAUGCAUGUGGGAAGGUUCACUUGGAACAAGUUGCAGUGCAAACUUGGAGUCUAAUAUACAUAUAACCAUUAAUGGAAGCCUUCAUUCCAAUAGACAAUAUAUAUAAGUUGUUUCGUGCUUAUAAAAUUGUAAUGUUUUUUGUAAAGGAUGUUUAAGUGUGUCAAAUAUGUUAUAGCAAGGCAAGGUACGUAGCAGUAAACUUUAAAUGAUGAGUCAAGCAUUUCCAGUAAAUCUACUCUAAUUGCAUGUUUACAUUGAAAUUUUAAAGUAUUAUUCAUUUUAUGUUAGUAGUCCUACAGCUGGCUACUAGCUAGCAUGAAUGUUUAUGUUGUUAUUUUGUGGAGAAAGUCAAAUAAUUGUUUUAGGUGAUUAAUUUCACGCAUUUAGAUAUGGAUGCUGAAAAUUCUUAAGUCAGACUUUGAAUUGUUUCAUGUUCAUAUUAAUAUUCAUAUAAAGAGAUAAACAAAUAUGUAACUUAGCUCUAUUUUUGUUUUGGUGAAUUAGCUCUAUUUAUUAUAGUCUAAUAAUAAUGGCUGCAUGUUGGACUAAAUAGCAGAAAUAUACUUUGCGGAGAUCAUUAAUUGUGAUCAAAAUUGUGGCAUUUUUUUAUUACCACUCAUAAAAUUAUCACCAUGAAAACCCUACUAAUUACGCAUUUAACGAUCCUCAAUUAUUUCAGUAAAAUAAAUUUUUGUCUACCUUAAUUUUUUUUUUCUGUAAAAUUCUCCUAUAGUUAAAUUUACAAUAGAAAUUUUCAAACGAUACUUUUUUUAAGUAAAUAAUUAAUUAAAUUUAUGCAAAAUAAUUAAAUUAGGUCAUAUCAAAUUUAAUAUGAAUUAGAUUAUUAUUUUAAUACUUAUUUACUUACAUAAAAAUAUUUAUUUUUUAAAAAAUAUAAUUAUUCACAUGAGAUUUAUAGCAAAUAAUUUUUUAACUUAAUAUUUUUAUAACUUAUUACAACUUUUUUAAACAUUAUACACCAUUGUUUUAUUUUUUGCAAUUUAUUUUUCUGUAGUUAAGGUACAACUUUGAUGAGGAAAAUGGACCAAUAUUAUAGAUAAAUCACAUUAGUCAAAAAAAUGUGAAUAAGAUGAUUUAUUAAAAAUCAUAUCACCAUUAAUUUAAUGUUUUAUAUAAAAGACAGGUUUGAUAAUGAGUUUAUAGUUUAGGAAAUUUAAAUUAAGUGAAGGGUAAAAUGUCAUGAAUAAGUUUGAAAAUUCAUAUCUUAUUUUUAGGUAUUGAGAGAAGGAUAAUGAAUUUUAAUGAUUUUAAUAUUGUUUAUUUGAAUUUGUGCAUUCGUUCAAUGAAUUUUAUUUUUCAAUAAAAAUAUCAAAUGUAGAAAAUAAAAUAAAAGAUUUUUUCUUUUUCACUAUUUUGAUUCUUAAUUUCAUAAAUAUUUUAAAUAAAUUUUAUAUUAAAAUUAAAAAUAUAAUAAAAAUAUUUGUUUUAAUCAAACGUGUUUUUAUUUUUUAUAUGAUUUUGAAAAGAAAUUAAAAGAGAGAAAAUACAAAAUUUUACUCACAAUAUAAAUUUUUUUCAUGAUAUAAAAAAAGAAAAUAGGAUUAAUAAAAUUUUGUAUGAUAAAAUAAUUAAUAGUAAAUUUAUUUAUUCUUUCUUUUACUUAUCAUUAUUUUAAAAAUAUAUAAAAUUUCAUCAAAAAUAAAUAUAUUGUAAUUCUUCCUCAAGUUAAAUGAUAUAUAAAGUUAUAUUUUCUUAACUCUAAUUUUUCUUUAUAUAUAUAUAUAUAUAUAUAUAUAUAUAUAUAUAUAUAUAUAUAUAUAUAUAUAUAUUUUGUUAAAUUUCCCUUUACUUCCAAAUAAAUAAUAAUUUUCAUUUUCCAAAACAAAAUUAGGUGAAGAGAUGAUUUGGAAAAAUAAGUAAAAUUUGAGAUAAUUAUUUUUAAUUAUAUAAAAAUUUCUAAACAAAAAUUGUAAAUGUUUAUCUGUCAUUAUUUUUCUGAAGUUUUAAAGUUAUUGUUUAAAAAAAAUUACACCUCCUACACAUAAUUUGUCCAGUGUGUCGCACAGAAACAUGUACUAGUGUAUGAAUAUAAGAAUAACACAUCCUUAUAUAAGUAAUUUGGUGUGAUCAUUUAUAUUUUCUUUUUCUUUUAUGUGAUUCUCAUCAUAUAAUAUAAACGGUAAUAUUAAUAUAUCGUUAGUUUGAGUAAAAUUAAGUUUAUUUUUUAAAAAUAAAAUCUAAGAUUCAAAUGUUAUAAAUAAAUAAAAAAUAUGAUUAAAAAAAAGCCAUCUAAUUUUUUUUGACAAAGGUUAAUGAUAAGUUUAAUCUGAGCAAUAACAUGACAGUAGAAGCAACCGACUGCAACUCGUCUACUUGAAUAUCUUCCUAAUAAUUGUUUCAACUUUCAAGCCUCGUGUGCUUUGACAUUUAUGCUCCAUAUCCUGAAAAUUUUGAUAAGAUAAGGGACCAAUCUAUACACAGUCCCAAGGAGAUUUGCAAGUAAGAAGAGAAAAAAAUAAAAUUCCAGACCCAUUGUUGGUGAAGGCGAAAUGUGUAGUGGGUUGUCAACGCAAUGCAAUGGUUCACAGUGUGCUGGUCUUAUUGAUGUUUUUUGGUUGCAGGUUCAAUGGUGGUUCUGAUGUAGAGAAGAAGAUGAAAGGGCCAAGGAGGAGAGAAUGGAACAGAGGAAGAAGAAGAGGGUAGAUGAGGAAAGAGAGAAAGAAAAAUCCAAAAAGAAAAUAAAAAUCCCAGCCAUUGAUUUUAAUUUUAAAAUAUCUAAUAAUUUCAAUUAGUUUCCCACUAUGCCAAUCUCGUAAAACUUUCGUCUGGCACCGUGCCUCGCUGUUGAAGGGUUCCCAUGCUAGCAUCUGCCAACACGAUCUGACAUUUCAACUAGGGGUGGGUAUAUCGGUCGGUUUAGUCCGUUUAAGAUCUGACAUGUGAAAUCAAUAUUUUAAGCUUAUUGGGUAAAUCUGGUUGUAAAAUAGAAAGAUUUUUUUUCUUUUUUUUAGAUUUAUAUUGGUUUCCUAAUCCGGUAAAUAAACGAAUUGGUCCGUGGGUUCAAUUAAUAAUUUAAAAAUAAAAAUAAAAAUAUAUUUUUAAUUAUUUGGUAGGUUCGCAAGCAAGAGAGGGGCAACACACGUCAACUGAAGAAGAGAAAGUAAUCUUGUGGAUCUCGUGACAGAAUGAGAGCUGGAGAAGGAGUGAGAGUUAAAAAGAAGAGACUGCCAAGUAUAAAGUCUCAACUCAAAUACUAAAUUUAUGUAAUUUUUAUUUUAAAAUUAAUUUUAUCUUAUUAGUAAAUCUGUGUAUAAAAUUCGUUAAAUUUGCAUACUUAACGAAUCAAACUCAAAUAUUAUUUAUAAUUAUAUGGAUUUAUAAAAAAAUAAAUUGAUAAUAUGCUCAAUCCACGAAAAUAACGGACCGUCCCCGCAAACCUGAAUAGUCAUCCCUAAUUUCAACGGAGUGGAAAGUGGGAAACCAUGAAACUUGCUACGUACUGUGAAAUUAAAAGGUCCGUACUAAUGUACGAAAUUAAUAAUCUUCUCCUCCCUUGUCGUCAUUUCUCACCUCAUCAUAUACAUAAUAAUACAUUAGUACUUUUUUAGGAGGACAGGCCAUAUAUAUUUUUAACACAUUUUUAAUAUUAUUUGUUGUUAAUUAGUUUUUUAAUAAAUUAUAAGUUAAGUUAAAAUUUAUUAAAUUUACAAAACUAUAAGAAAAAAACAUUAAAUAAGAUGUAGGAUCUACAAAAUUUAUAAUUUAUAAUAAAUUUUAACUAAUAAAUUUUAACUAACAAAUUUUCAGCAUUUUUCUAUUCUUUUAGACUACAAGUAUUGAUUAAGUUAAAACAACCAUGUGUUAAUGGUUCCUAUAGUAAUAUUAUUAGGAUAGAAUAUAAUUAUUUUUGGUACAAAAAUACAUGGGAUUUAGAUAAAAAAAAAUCCUGUUAAUUAAUGUUACAAGAUACAUUAUUUAAACAUUUAAAAAUUAACAUUACAUUUAGCAUUUCAAGUUUUCAACGGAGUAGAAAGUGGGAAACGAUGAAAUUUGCUACUCUUAAUUUAAAAGGUUCGUACUAUAAAUUAUAAUGAGAUUCGUCUUUACUUUCGCACCCUCUAUACAUUAUAGUAAUUUAAAGUGCAUGUGAUAUGGUAUGCGAAUAUUUCUACCUGUUGUUUAAAAUUUAUUUAGAAUAUAGUACGACACUGAAACAUUAUUAUCUCAUAAAAAAAAUUUAUAUAAUUAAAAAUAAAUUUAAUUUAAUACAUUGAUAAUAUAAUUUUUUUAUAUCAUCAAUUAAUUAAAAAUCAUUCUAAAUAUAAAUUUUAAAAUAACUAUUAUAAAAGUAAAAAAAAUUAAUAUACACAACAAUUCAUAAUUAGAUGACAUUGCGUUUUAAUUAAUUCAUUGAAAAUUAGUGCCUUUUAUAAUAAAUAAUCUAGAAGUGAUAUUUAAAGUGGUUUCUAAUUAGUUAUUAGUAUACAUUUUUACAGUAGCAUAGUUUUAAAAUUAAACUUCCAGUAUAUGUUUUUAUUUUCUAGAUAUACAUGCAGAUUAAAAAUAUAUUUUAAAACUAAAGGAGACUUUUUUGUUAUAUAAUAAUAAUAAUAAUAAUAAUAAUAAUAAUAAUAAUAAUAAUAUAAAGUGAGAGAUGGAAAUGUAUGAGGGGACGAUGUUCGAUUUAUUUUUAUGAUGGGAACAUAAUUUUUUAAAAUAAAAAAUAAUUAGAAAAUUUUAUUUAAAAUAUUUUUAUUAUUAAUAUAUCUCUUAUUAAAAUUAUAUAUAUAUAUAUAUAUAUAUAUAUGAGAUUGCUAGCAUACUCUAAUGUUAGAGUAUUUAAAUAACCUACAUCAAAUUAUUAGAAUAAAAAGCUUAACUAUUUAUUUUGUGAUAAUAAAUUUAUUUAAAAAAAUAUGAUAAUUUAAUAUUUAUAUUUUUAAAAUUCAUUUAUUUAUCUCUUCAACUCAUUCUCUCUCCUCUCUUUUUCUCUCACAUCAUUUAAUAUUUAUAUUUUCAAAAUUAAAAUUUAAAAUAUUUACCGAGAGAAUGAAUGAGGAAAAUAAAUAAAUGAGUUUUAAAAAUAUAAACAUUAAAUUAUCAUAUUAUUCUUAAAUAAAUUUAUUAUCACACAAUAAAUAGUUUAAUCUUUGAUCUAAAUAAUUUGGUGUAGGUUAAAUACUCUAACAUGAGAGAGUAAGUUAACAAAUCAUUUUAUGAAUGUACGUAUGGGAAGGAAGAAUGUAAUAGAAAACAAAAAAGAAAGAAAAAGAAGGAAAUUAAAAAUAAUAAAUGUAAUUAAUGAUUUAAGAAAAAAAUAAAAAUAUAGUAUACAAACGAGAAAAUAAUUACAGUCAGACUCAGAAACUGUCAUGAUAUUUAUUCAUCUCUAAGUAAAACAUAAUUUUAUUUUAUUUUAUUUUCCCCUCAGAAUUUUAAAAACUCAAGUGUCUCAUGUAUAGCCAAAAAAACCAUAGACGCAUGGUAGUUGGAGAGCCGAGAGCCUACAAUUAUUUCUGAGACAAAAGAUGGAAGAUAAAGUUUACAUAAUUGUUCUCUCUCCAAUUUCUAUUAUAAGAAAAAAAAUAAUUUCAUAUUAAUUAUAAAAUUAAUUAAUUUUAUUAAAUUAUGUUAAUUCCAAAUAAAAAUAAGUUUUUUAAAAAAAUUAUUUUUCAUUAAAACUUGAUAUCAAACAUAAAAAAAAAAUUAUCCUAUCAAAUGAAAGACAUUUAUUUAAAAAUAGUUUUAUUAAAUACGGUAAAGUUAAUUAACUUUUGUUUAUAUAAAAAAAAGCAAUUUUUUUGUUGCUUAUUAAAAAGACCAGUGGGAGUACUAAUUAAAACAAAACUAUGGCUGCUAUGUAACAUGGCACCAGAGAGUCUCAAUCCUUAGAGAAAUUAAAUACCAAACUUUGACAUUUCACAGAGUGAUGGUAGUAAUAAAUGACAAGGAAUGAGACCCAGCAUGGACCCAGUCCUUUGACCACUAUUAUUGUCCAGCUCAAUUGAAAUUUUUUUAUUAAGAGUUUAACUUAGUUGAAUAUGAUAAAUAAAUUAUUAUAAUUUUUUAAUAUUUAUUUUUAAUUUUUAUGAAUAAAAAACUAUUACAAUCUCAGUUCAUUUUCUUGGGACACGUAAUCAAGUUUAAUAACUAUUUCUCAUAGCUUAAAAAUUCAGUUAUGUCGAGUAUUUAUGUACAAAUUAGUUAGAACAAUAGGCGCGUAUAGUGGUCGCCCUCUAAGACAUAUAAUUGUGAAGAUCGAAGAGAAGCUUUAUACAAUUAUUAAUGAUAAAACUAUCAUUGUUAUAUAACAUGGGGCCAUAAAUGAGUGCAUGGAUUGAAUGAUGCAAAAUUGUUACAACUUAAUUAAUUAUCUUGAGUUUUAAUUUUAAAUAUAUAUUUGUGUUAAAUACUCCGGAAAGAGUUUUAUGUUCAUAAUUAUUAUAUUUAACUUGAACAAUAUUAACUCAACUGAUGAUGCAUAUAUAGUUUAUACAAAAAAUAUAUAUAUAACAUGGGACCUAGGCGAUGGCAAAACGGGUUGGAUCUAUUCGAUCAACCCAUUUUGGGCUUUUUUUUCGAAUUAGGUUGGAAUUUUCAAUCCUUCAACUGCUUUGCUAUGUUUUGAUCCGCUACAAAAUGGGUUGAGAGGAAAGUAGAACGGACCAACUCUCUAACCCGUUUUUUUUAUUAAGAAAUAAUUUUAGUAUUUAUUUUGAUAUUUUAUACUAAUAUUUAUUAAUUUUCAAUUAGCUUAUUUUUUGUCUAAAUAAAUUAUUAUUAAAAAUUUAAGGUAAUACAUUUAAUUUUUUAGUAAGUAUUUAUUAUUUAAUAUUUAUAAAAGAUAAAAUUAAUUAAAAUACAUUUAUAAUUUAUUUUUUUAGUUUUGACAUGACAAAAACGAAAUGAACUGAACACUUUGAAUCUAUAUAUAAAAUACGGGAUGAGAUGGGAUGGAUUGAUCCGUUUUUUAUGGAUUGAUCCCUUUUUGCUAGCCCUAAUGGGACCAAAGAGUCACUAUCCUUUAGAAAAAUUCACACCAAACUUUUGACAUUACAGGCAGGGACAAUGCGAGUAAUAAAUGGCAUAGAAUGAGACCCUAGUCCUCUGGCCACUAUAAAAAGGGAUGAUUGUGUGUGUUACAUGCAUCAGCCACCACCAUUGACUAGUAUCAUUAAGAUGGCUAAUUCCUACUUAUCCUUGCUUGUCUUGAUCCUUGUAGCUCUGCUCCUCACCCCUCAAGGGCUUGCUGAUGAAUCUGAUUCUUACUAUAAGCCACCAGUUUACAAGAAACCACCAGUGUACAAGCCCAAGCCCAAGCCACCCAUUCACAAGCCCAAGCCACCCGUUUACAAGCCCAAGCCACCCGUUUACAAGAAACCCCCUUAUGGUAAGUACCCACCAGUUCAAGACAACGAUCACUUCUAAACCAUGCAACAAGGCAUGUUAAUGUUAACUAUCUACUAAAAUAAAGAGGUUCAGUUAACCUACUACGUACGUUGCUCCUUUUAAUUCCUAAAUCGUAAUUUACAACUUUGUAGGGAUGAGACAUUCUUGGCUAGCUCUGCACUUCAAUCCUUUAUUUGUACAAUGCUAUGGCCAAGUCAAUACCAUGCAUCUUAUCUAUGUGUGUCAUUGAACGAAGUAGUUGCGUGAAAAUGAUGCUUGUACUAUGAAUAAAUAAUAAAAGAACUUUAUCAUUUCAAGAUUGUGCUGUUUAGUUUAUUUGCUGAACCACCGUUACUGACCAUAAAUAAUACACAUGCAGGUCUUGUUUAGGAUAAACUUAAUUAUCCGUAA